rnacentral:lncRNA from 1 species
CUGAAGCCGGUGGUUUGAGUGAAGACUUGAGGUUUAAAACUCUAAGAGACCAUCCAAGAGAAAUGAAUAGUUCGGGUUUGGAAGGAAGUCUGUCUUAUUAUUCAUCGUCAGCCAGCUUCUUGCCUGGUUCUUCCUCUACCGAUGAUGUCCGUGAAAUUAACGCAGAGGCAUAUUUGAAGUUUAAGGCCAUGAGAGACAGUCAUAUUCAUAUGGAAAGACAAAGAUCGGUUGCCCAAGUAUCAACACCAGUCCCCUCAUGGACUGGCUCUUCAAAAUCUGCCCAUGAUCUUCACAACACAAUUUGAGUCCAGCGGAUGUGCAAAAUCAUCCGCAAGCUAGUUUCAAGUUUCAACAUUCAACUUUUUUGUAACCUACGUCUAUGUGUCAUACCUUCUCGCAUCAUCUUUGUAUCUAAAAUUUUCAGCGACUCAACCUCGGAAACAAGCGAGUCAACAACUCGUUCUUCGUUCUCAGUAGUCACCGUCGACUCCUCGGGGUUUUUAAUUAAAUACCCUUUAAUAGUUUUAAAAUUAUUUAAAUACCCCCUCCCUUUUUGGUUUUCAUGGAUACCCUAACAAAUGUGAGCAAAGUCGGAAAUACCCUUAAUGAAUGCAUCAAAUGCACUCAAUGAAUUGUCUUCAUAUUUCUUUCCUCAUUUCUUUCACUUAAAUCUAUUUUUGCUGCCGAUUCUUUCAAAAUCUCUUAGAAUCUCUCAAAAUCUCUCAUAACUUCUUACACAAAUACAAUUAUGUAUUCAUUUCUUUAACACCCACUCUUUCUUUAAAGGUGCAUUGCUUAUUAAACAACCCAAUAAGGUAUGUUAAUGUUGUUGGGUUUUAAAUUUUUUAAUUUUUAGGAAAAUUUAGAAAUUUUCCUCACAUUACAAUAUUUUAUUUUCACCAUUUUUUCUUAUACGUAGAAAUAUAUGCAAUGUAGGUUGUUUAAUUAUAUUUUUCAGCAAUAUAACUUAUUUAUGGCGAAAAUAUUUCGAGUCGUGCAUUCUUUUGAUACCGUGUACGUCAUAUAGUUAGUCGUGUAAGUAAUAUAGUCGUGUAAGUCGUGUAGGUCAUGUAAGAAAUAUAGUCGUGUAGGUCAUGUAAGAAAUAUAGUCGUGUAAGUCGUGUAGGUCAUGUAGGUCGUGUAGUUACUUGUAUAUGAAAUUUAAUAUUAUUGUUUUUAUUGUAUUAUCAGAUAUGGUUUUGGUACGCGUGUCUAUUCUCUUCAAUGGUGAAUGAAUUAAACAAAAUGACGAGUAUAAGUUCAAAAGUUCAAAGGCUAAAGGGAUAAUGAUACCACGAUCGACAACAUAUGCCGCAUUGGUGGAGAAGAUAGCUGAAGUUAUUGAUAUAGAUACUUCGGAAUUCAAAAUCACAAUGAAGUUCAAACUUAAGACAUCUGAUCCUAUGCCACCAGUUACAAUUCAAACCAAUGAUAAUUUGGAAUUUUUUUAAAUUCCAAUUUAAUUUCACUUCUUUUUUUAAUAAUUUUCAUUGACAUUUUCUGCAUAGCAGCAAAUAUAAAUUCUUAGCACAAAUUAAGUCUUUAAAGAACUAAAUUAAUCUAAUGAUUAAUGGAAAAUUCGUGUAAUUUUAAAGUCGCAAUUAAACAUAUUACAGCCAUUUAAAAAGUUUUUUUCUUUUUUUUUUUUUAUCUUCAAAGUGCUUUCUUCCUCUGGCCAAGCAUACAAGCAUACAUGAGGAAUGCUUGCAUAUAAUUAAUCCAUGAAAUCAAUUAAGAAAAAAAAUAUCAGCUAUAGGAAAUUAAUGUAAUGUUAUACACAUAAAAACACCAUUCGCAGUGAUAAAAUAUUUUCACUCAUAACUAGACAUAUCAUGACUUACCAUGACUUAUAAUUGGAAAUUAAGAAUCUCUCUAACUAAUGACAUUUCACAAGGUAAAGGUAUAUGUACAAUUCCAAUUUAUUGUGAGCCUAAUUAAACUAAAUGUAAUAUGCAGAUUCUAUUGACAAGAAACAAAAUGUGGAAUUGAAGGUCGUGUAAUUGUGUAAUACAAGAAGAUCGUAUAAUUGUAUAAUACAUGAAGGUCGUAUAAACAUGCAAUACAUGAAGGUCGUGUAAACGUGUAAUACAUGAAGGUCGUGUAAUCGUGCAAUACAUGAAGGUCGUGUAAUCGUGCAAUACAUGAAGGUCGUGUAAAACACAACCUUGAAUCUUACAUAACCUUACACGACCAAAUCUUAUAUUACAUAACAAAAUUAUAAUCAGCACAAUCCAUUAAUUUUUCACAAUUUGCAUGCAGCAAAACAACUAGAAAUUUGUUUUCGAACAUGUUAUGAGAGACCCACAACUAAUUAAUCUAUUUUUUCAAUAUAAAACCCUAACUUUUUAUUUUUUUCCCUUGAAUAGUAACAAGAAAACUAAUUACAUGGAAUUACUUGUCUCAACUAGUUACAUUCUGACAAUUUUGCAGUAAAUGAUCAACUCUCUCCGGCGAUUAUGUAGUGACGAACUAUGCUUCACUUUCUCAGUUGUGGCAGCUUCUCCUUCUCAGGCUUAGUUUGCUCGUGUUGAAGUUCGAUUUACCAUAUAUGGAGAAUGAAUGUUUGUUUCAGUAGAGGUGAUGUCAGUGAGGGAAUUGCAGUGUUUGUUUGUUUGAGUUUGAUAAUUGAGGGAAUUGCAGCAGAUGAGUAUUUGUUUGCUUCAGUAGAGAAGGGAGAGGUGCUGUCCGUUGAGUUGAAAUGUUUUAAAAUGAGGAUAACUUAGUAAUUUCCUAUCCGUUUUGAAAGGGUAUCGAUGAAAAUUUCGGCAAAAAUAGAUUUUAGGGUAUUGAGAUAAUUUUUGAAGUAUGGAGGUGUACCGGGCGCAAUUGGCUCCGACUCCUCCUCCUUCUCUUCGCUAACACCACUUCCGAGAUGGACUGAGUCAACUCGGUCCUUGAUGAUGGCCUCAGAUUUUAUCAAAUUAGUUUCUUUUUCUCUCUGAUUUCGAGAAAGUUUGUACCUUGUCUCUCCGGAGUUAUUAAUAUCAGUUCGGCGGUUGGGGAUAGAACGGCAUCGUAGAGUGGAGGUGGUUUCUUUGUAUUCUGACGUGGAUUGAUCUGAUUGGUCGGCGGGAAUGCAGUCGUAAGAGGGAAAAUCGUCGAGCGUAUCAAAGAAUUCGUCGUCCUCAUCGUUGGUUUUAUUCCGUUCGUCCAUUCAGCAACCAGAGACUGGGGUUUCAGUUUCCGGUUAUCGCUUAUCAGGAUCGAAUUUGCUUGCAAUUCACCGUGUUUGCAGCCUUCGUGUCAUCAUUUUUUUUUUGGUUCGGUUAAUAACAUUUGCAUCCCUAAUUUUUAACCAUUUCUCAUGAAUAUAUAUAUUUUUUCUUUUUAGCUCAAAAUGUCGUAUAUUCUUUCUAACACAUUAAACUUUUUUCUUUUCAAUUUUUUUUAAAUAACCUUUGCAAUAUUCAACUUUACCAUUAGUAAUUGUUUGUGACUUAGGGGCCUUAUGCUUCUUUUGAUUUGCUGACUUAAUUAACUUAAUUUUAAUCAAUUAAGGUAUUAAGUCUUUUUAUUUUUAAUUUAAUGAAAAUUUUUAAGUCAAUUCUUUUUUACUUUUUACUUAAUCUAAAGACUAAAAAGUCUGGAUAUUAUCAUUAAAAGAUAUUCUCCAAAAUAUUUCUAUUUAAUUUAUUAAUUUUUAUCUUUACCUAAAUUAAAUUUUAAUAAUUAACAUUAUUACACGUUUCUAUAACUUGUGAUAAUAUAAUGGUAGACUAUUAUUGUUUUUAUCUUUUUAUUUUCUUCUAGUUAGCAUUAUUUUUCUUCAUAAUUUUUAUGAAUAUUUUUCAUAUAAAAACAUCAUAAACUAUAAUGAUGUAUACUAAUUUAGAAUAUUAAUUUAUAAGUGCACAAAUGUAAAAAAUACUUGUUUUUAGAUUUUUUAAGUUAAAAAAAUAACUUAAUAUUUUUUUUAGAGAUUCGAACAAAAAAUAAAUAUAUUAUUAGAUUCAAACAUUCAGCUUUAUUAAGAUUCAGACUAAUUCAAGUUUAUUCAAUUUUUUUAGAUAAAAAAAUAAACACCACCUUAGGCUUUAAGUAUACUUUUAUUAUUUUAAUAAGAGUUUAGAUAAUCAGGCAUGUAAUACAAUAAGAACUCAUAUGACCUAUAAUGUGUGUAUAUAUAUAAUCAUUCUCUAAUGAGGCAUCCUUAUUUUGAUAAAGUGAGGAUGUGACUAAUAAAUAAAAUAUAAAUUUCAAUAUACUAAGAGAUAAAAAAAUAUAGAUUUUAAUAAAUUAGAAAUUAUAUUUUUUAUAUUUUAGUGACAUUUUUAUUUUAACAAAAUGAGAAUAUCCUUAUUAAAGAGUAUUUAUAUAUAUAUAUAGAGAGAGAGAGAGAGAGAGAGAGAGAGAGAGAGAGAGAGAAAAUUGUAAGGGAGAGAAGAUUUAUGAACGAAAUAUUCUAGUUGCACUAUAAAAUAAAUAAAUAAAUAAUAUAUAUAUAUAUAUAUAUAUCUAAAAUCUACCAUCCUAAUAGAUUUCAAGUUGUAAUAAAUCCGAAAUUGUAAUCGUUGAAAAGAAAAAUGGUUUGGGACCUUUUUAAUACAAACGGAGAACCAAUAUCCUUUUCCGUGAGAUUUGAGAAACAAGAAUAGCAAACAAGAAAUCAGCUUAUUGUCAUUAUCUGGCUACGCACGAUAUAGGAUCCGGCGGGAAUCGCCAAUCGCCCAUCAUAUACAUACAUUUGUUUUGCAAAUGUAUCUUUCAUCAUUGAAACUAAAUAGUGAAUAAUUAUUUUCUUUCUUUAAUGGGAAAAAGAAAGAAGAGAAAGUUCUUUGCAUGAACAUAAAAAUCUCCAAGUCCACUAAGAAAUGUACUUACAAAAAUAAAAGUCUACUGAGAAAUGUAAAACCAAAAAUUUAUCUUCAAACUAGAGAAAAUUUUUCAAACAACCAAUAGUUAAUGCGCGUAUUUUGUGAAAGAUAGCCAAUGGGAAUGGGAGGUAACGUAAUCAAAUAAUUUAUUGAUUUAUUCAAGUCAUCAAUAUCAAAGUGAGACAUCCAUUUCCAAUUGGAAGAAAAAAAACCAUAUUUUAAUUGCCAAACCGGCGUGGAUUUCUCUCUCUCUCUUUAAGGUCCAAUUAACACACUAAUUAAGUUCAGAUUGUAUAUGGACAUCUGUGACUAAUUGGUUAAUUGAUUCAUUAAACUAUAUCUCUAUAAUCUUUUCUAUCCAUAUUCCAUUCUAAUGUUGCAAUGACAUAUAUAUAAAUAUAUAUAUAUAUAUUGUGUGUGUAUAAGGAAAUUUAAUUAAUUUCGUAACACAUGCAUUAUUGCAUUAAAAUAAUAGUCACUGUUGCCUCAAUUUCGAUGGUCAAAAGCAAAAUAUUUAAAGCAGAAUCCUACAGUUUGACCAUGCAAAAAACCAAUGAAAAUUCAAAUAUCGGGGGUUCCUAUACUAAUAGUUGCGAAUGGGACCAACAAUUCAUAUCUUUCAUUAACCUGUAAGGUGGAAAAAUCCAUAUCGGCGAUUAAUUAAUCAGACAUGCUGCGGAUGAGGUUUAAUGAGAAUCUUAGCAUUGGCAGGAAGUCAACCAUGUGCCGAGACAAUAUUUUUAUUAAAAUAAUGCACUUGGCUUGGAUACAAUUCAGAAUAUGACAAAAACAAAUCUAACUUUAGUUUGACUGGUACUGCAUUCUAAAAUCGUACCAGGACGAAAGACAAAAUCACAUUAGAAGGGUAGUUGGAAUUUUCUUAAUCGAGCUAUUUGCUUGGAAGAUUCAUCAUCCCUGCAUUUAGCAAAUAUAAAAGAAUCGCAAGAUUAUUAAAACAACGUAGUAAUAACAGCUCAUCAGAAGAUCCGUACGGUACAACAAGGAAACAGGGUAGAAUUGAAAGAUAGCUCAUAGCUCAUACCUCACGGCUAGCUUUUCUGGGUCUUCAAAGAUGUCCUUCUUGAAGCUUGACCUGCUCCUUGUCUCAAUUCUGUCUGUAAGCUGCUUAUGGACACAAGUACUUGUUUCUGCUACUCUGCCUCGAGCUGAAGGUUCGGCUGAUAAAAUUUUCUUUUUAUUUUCAAUAUCCCCUUCUUCAUGAUAUCUUGUAACCAGUUGUAGCUUAUGUUUCAUUUCUCUCUCUCUCUCUCUCUCUCUCUCUCUCUCUCUCGGUAUUAGUAGUGUAUUAUUCUCAGAAAUAAAGAAUAAAACAUUGUUAAGAGCCUAAGAUGAUAAUUGAAUUGAGGAUCAGCGAUCUUACAAUGGUCAGAUUAGUGACAUUCAUAAUAUUAUUAAAAAAAUUAAAAAUAGAACUUCAAAAUUUGGUGACUGGUCGAAUUCAGAACUGUUAUUUUCACCAAGUUCUGAUGUUUAAUUGAGAGAUGCUUCUUUGUGCAUGUAGUUGAUGCGCUCAAUCAAAUUGCCAAAACAAUGGGAGCUAGGGACUGGACGUUUGAUGCUAAUGCUUGUGACCUGAAUGAGACACCAAUAGUGCUGGAAGAAGGUCCCACCAGGAUCAUUACUUGCAACCUUGGAAUCGAUAAUACAAGCCACAUUACUGAAAUGUAGGUUCUUUUUUUGUCAUUUUAUAAAAUUUGAACCGGCAUAUUUUUAUUUUUCAGUUUUGUGUUUAGGUUGAUGUGAAGGACCAAUUUUGGGUAUCUUUUGUUUUCCAUUUUCAGACAAUUCAAACGUUGCAACCUUUCUGGAACACUUCCACGAGAAUUGGUCCAGCUUCCUUCCAUCCAGAAAGUGUGAGUUGAAUAGUCUCUAAUCUAAUGCAUUGGGAGAUUAAACUUAUAAAUAAAUUAAUCAUUUUUGUUAAUUUGCAGUGAUUUUGCCUACAACUACCUAAAUGGUUCCAUACCAGUCGAAUGGGCUUUGUUGCAGUUGAAGUUCAUGUAAGCUAUAUCUAAUUCUCUCUAAUCAGGUUAAGCAGUUAGCAUUCUACUUGUUUCAUAGAGUUAAUUGAUCGUCAAUAAUCUUAAUGCAGCUCUGUUUUUGGAAACCGGUUAUCAGGCAAUAUUCCAAGCCAUUUGGCGAACAUUACCAGUCUCACGUACUUGUAAGCUAUCAAUUCUUGGUUUAUGCAAACAUAUUUAGGCCACUGAUGUAAAUGAUAACUAAUUUAUUCCCUUUGUAAUCUGAAUGGGUCUAAUUUGCCAGGGACAUUGAAGCAAACCAAUUCUCGGGAACCGUACCUGAGGAGUUCAGGAAAUUAGUAAACUUGGAAACUCUGUAAGGCAUUGUCAAGCUUUUUUGUGGCUGAUAUUUGUUCAUGAUCAAUGUAAUCAUUUGGACCAUAAAUUGUCAUGGUUACAGGAGACUGUCCUCCAAUCAGUUGAGUGGAAGUUUGCCGACGGGACUAGCUGAGCUAAAAAAUUUAACUAACUUGUAAGCCUUCUUGAUUAGUGUCAGAUCAUGCUCAAAAUUUAUCAGAGGUAUAAGCUGUACUCAUUCUCAUUGCACAUUGCAGUAGGAUCAGCGACAACAACUUCAAUGGGAGUAUACCAGAAUUUAUACAAAACUGGAAGCAACUUGAGAGACUGUACGAUCAUCUACAUUACAAAGAUUUCUCAUCUUACAUUCUGGUUCUUGAUUGUUCUUGAUUUGUUAAUUUGAGUUGAUGCAGAGAAAUGCAAGGUAGUGGAUUCGAUGGACCCAUUCCGUCAUCCAUCUCUGUCUUGGAAAAUCUGAAACAAUUGUGAGUAAAUAUUUCUCUACUUGUCAAUUACAAUAAUCAGAAUGAUUUAAUACAUCAAUUUAUAUGAUUAAUUUAUUAUAUUUAACGAUACUAAAAGGAUCUGUUAAUUAUGGCACUCUAACAGGAGGAUUAGUGACAUAGCUGGAACAAAUCAUCUUUUUCCGGAUCUUAGAAAAAUGGCAGGCAUUAAAAGGAUGUAUGCUCAUUGGCUAUUUUCUAUCAUUUUGAUGGAGUAUGAUUAUUCGCCUUAUAAUUAUCUUACAGGAUUAAUGUUGGAUUUUCAGAAUUUUGAGAAACUGUGGUAUUUCUGGGGAGUUUCCUGAAUAUAUCUGGCGAAUGAAUAAUCUGCGAAUUUUGUAAGUAUGCUACAUUCUUUGUUUUCUAAUGCAGAAAUUAAAUACUUGAAAAUGAAAGCAAAAUUCCGGGUUUACAUUCAUGAAAAGUAACACCAACUAGUAAUGUAGUAUUCUUCUAUACCUUGCAGCUGCCAUAGCAGCAAUAGAGUUGAAGCAUCAGCACUUACAGGCCAGUUAAUGUAUUUACAUGGAUAAUCAUUAUCUUUUGAAUUUGGUUUGGACAGGGAUCUCAGUUUUAAUAGGCUAACCGGGAAAAUUCCCAAUGUUGCAACUCCACCGAGUUUGAAAUUCAUGUAAGUUAAUGAAAUCAACUGUCUGGAUUUACAAUGUUAAUUAUGUGAUGUCCAACUCAUUAACCACCUGAUACGGCCUUGGUCAGCUUUCUAACUGGCAACUUUCUCAGCGGGAACAUACCAGCGUCGAUCUUGAGGAAAGGAACUAAUGUGUGUGUAUCUUAUCACCUGGAUGCCUUGAGUUUUACUUAUUUUAGUGAUUUAUGUUCAUAUAUAUUUGCAAUCUGUUGAUUUACUAUAUAGUAACCAUAUGUAACUUUGUAAUCCUGUUUCUAAAGAGACCAUAUUAAACAUCAAUUUUGUUAAAUAAAUAAUCUUAUGCAUGAAAUUUCCUUCAUUGCUUCUUUCUUGCAUGCAGGGAUCUGUCAUAUAAUAAUUUCACUCAUCAAAACCCUGAGCAGCCUGCUUGUCGGGAGAUACAGUCAGUAUAUUUCCCUCUCUAUGUUAAAUAAAUAAUCUUCUCCGCUUGUAAUAUCACUUGGUAUAUCUGAGUGCUGAUAUUUGCUUUGUCUCCCGUUAUUUCGUUAGGAAUCUAAAUCUGAACCUGUUCCGAAGUUCUUCUGGGCACAGCAAUUUGUAUGUUGCUUUUCAUGCUUUCUUAUUAUUGUAGCUUAUGUGACAGAUUUAACAACCAAUGUAUAAAGAAGUUUUAAAAAUAUACAGUCAUUUUAUCAUCCAAUAAAUAAGAAGCAACGUGUAUUUUUAGAUUAGACAAUGUAAUGUCUACUAAUAUUCUCUUUUUCCUUGACUAAAAACCAGAAGUGGAGUUCUUCCAUGUAAGAAUAAUUUCAAAUGCGAUCGAUGUAAGUAUACUCUACUAUCAGUAAGUCACCAUAAAAUCUAUAUCUCGAAUAUGUUGACUUUUAGAAUCACAAAUAGUUGGUAGCCUAGCUAUUAAUAAUAUCAUAUUCAAAUCAACUUCAAUUCUUCUGUUUAUUUUUUAAUUGUCAGUUCAUUUCUGGUUUCUUGAAAACUCAUUGCUCAGAUAGUCUUUAACAUUCUUUUUUCUCGGCAGAUUGGCACUCACUGCACAUUAAUUGUGGUGGAAAUGAAGUAAAAGUAAAUGGCAGCACAUUUGAAGGAGAUGGACAAAUUGGUGGUGGUGCUGCAACAUACCAUUCAGAAGAUGAUACUAACUGGGGUUUUAGUAGCAGUGGAGACUUCACUGAUGAUGAUGAUGAACAAAACAGACGUUACAUUGCAACUCCUGACUCAUCAAACCUUUCUGAACUAUACAUUAAUGCACGCAUUGCUCCUCUUUCACUUACUUACUUUGGAUAUUGUUUAGACAACGGAAAUUAUACUUUGAGUCUACACUUUGCGGAGGUCCAGUUCAGUAAUGGAAUUACAUUUCACAGCCUGGGAAGGCGUCUAUUUGAUAUUUAUAUUCAGGUAAUUAAUCAGAAUCAGGAAAUAGAUUUUCAUCGGACACAUUUCUCUCUGUGAGUUCUUGGGAGACAGUUGUGCUAUUGAGUAAUAUGAUGGAUGAUUCUCAAUAUGUUUCUCUGGAUUGUCUUGUUUCAGGACAAACAAGUUGAGAGGAAUUUCGAUAUAAAAGCUGAAGCUUCUGGGGCUCUUAAGCCAGUUGCAAGAUCCUAUAAUGUCACUGUUACAAAUCACAUUAUAGAGAUCCGUUUCCAUUGGGCUGGAAAAGGGACUACGGCACUUCCUAAAAGGGGAGUUUAUGGCCCCCUAGUAUCAGCUAUUUCAUUGAAUGACCCCAGUGAGUCCUUUUCAUCCCUUAUUCUGUUUUCAAAAUCGACUAACAUUAUAAUACGUUGCGAAGUCCGGAUUUUUAGUAACACAAUUUCAAAUGUUCUUUUUUGAAGUUUAACUCUCUACGAUUGUACAUUAGAAAAAAACCAAAAUUCAGAUAUUUAGUUUGUUUGCAGCCAUUUUCUUACAUAUCCAUUUUAUGUGAAAGGAAAAAGAAAAUCUCCAUAAGUUAUUAAGCCUAUCAAUGUAGUUUUGAAUUUUUUUUCAUGCCCACACGUUUCUGUAAUGCAUUCGUUCCAUGUUUUCACAUGCUUCUGAUAAUCCUGCUUCAUGGAUUCUCCUUGGCAGACUUCAAACCUGAAAAGAAGAAGGUAGUGCCGAUUGUUGUUGGAGUAGUUGCAGGAUUAUCUCUCAUAAUCUUGGCGUUCGGUAUCCUCGGUUGGAGGUACUAUUUGAGAACCAAGAGGCGCAAAGAAAGAGGUGUGGGCUUCUUUUAGAUAAAAAUUAAAAAAUGCUUCAGUUUGCUACUCAACAUUUAUUCACAAUCAUUUUCUUUUUCAUUAUAAUAAUCAAAAUAGUAUCUUUAUAACAGCAUUAACUUUAUGUAAGCAUGUGAAGACAUUUAGGUUCAAACUACAUGCUGAUGCUCAUUUUGACCAUCCACAUUAAAUUUAGUAAGGAAAUAACUUAAUGAAUCCAGAAACUCAUCUAGAGGCUAAAGCACACUUGUCUCUCUUUAUUUGGACAGGUUUUAUGAAAGAGUCGGAUCUCCAAACAAUUUCUUUUACCUUAAAACAAAUUAAAGCUGCAACUAACAAUUUUGAUUCUGCAAAGAAGAUUGGAGAAGGUGGAUUUGGACCUGUGUACAAGGUAUAUUGGCCAACCUUUUGCCCCUAAUCAUCCUCUUAACACAAAAUUUCCUUCAAUGGUUACUUAAAAUUUGUACAUUUCUUUUUUCAUAACUGGGAUGCAGGGUCAACUAGCAGAUGGUACUAUAAUUGCUGUGAAGCAACUCUCUUCAAAAUCAAGGCAGGGGAAUCGUGAAUUCUUAAAUGAGAUAGCCAUGAUUUCGUGCUUGCAACACCCAAAUCUUGUUAAAAUUCAUGGCUGUUGUGUUGAAGGGGAUCAACUCUUGCUAGUAUAUGAAUACAUGGAAAACAGCAGCCUUGCCCGUGCUUUGUUUGGUAAGUUUAGUCUAGUAAAACAAGAAGCAAAUGUUACAUACAGGUAUAUUAUGUUUCAUAUUCUGUAGGGAUGUUUCUGAUUGGAUUUGGAAUGGUUAUUGUAUUUUUAAGGUCGUGAAAACUGUGAACUGGAAUUGGACUGGCCGACCAGGCAGAAGAUCUGUCUUGGCAUAGCCAGGGGGUUAGCUUUUCUUCAUGAAGAAUCAAGAUUCAAAAUUGUUCACAGAGACAUCAAAGCUACAAAUGUUCUGCUAGAUAGGGAUUUAAACCCCAAAAUAUCAGAUUUUGGACUAGCUAAGCUUGAUGAGGAGGAUAAAACCCACAUCAGCACUCGCAUUGCUGGAACCAUGUAAGCCUCAUUUCACGUCUCUCAUUUAAAACUGAUAAUUUUGUUAUUGUUUCAGUGUAAUACAAAAUUGAUAAUUUUGACUUCAGAGGAUACAUGGCACCAGAAUAUGCACUCUGGGGCUAUUUGACCUACAAAGCAGAUGUUUACAGUUUUGGGAUCGUGGCCUUGGAAAUUGUUAGUGGGAAAAAUAAUAUGAGUUAUGCUUCAGCUCUGGAGUUCGACUGCACUUGUCUUCUCGAUUGGGUCAGCAACUAACUCAUAUAAUUCACCUUCUGCAUUUUCAUUUCUGUGGUUGUUGUGUCUUCUCUAAUGCUAUGUUUUGGUUUGGGUAGGCCUGUCAUCUUCAGCUAGAUGGAAAGUUAGUGGAGCUAGUGGAUGAAAGGCUAGGAUCAAAAUACAACAAGGAAGAAGCAGAAAGGAUGAUCAAAGUAUCUCUUUUGUGCACAAAUGCUUCGCCGUCACUAAGGCCAACAAUGUCGGAAGUGGUGAACAUGCUGGAAGGAAAAACUGCCAUACCAGAUAUGAUACCAGAAGCUGGAAGUUAUAGUCAAGAUUUGAGGUUCAAAGCCUUGAGAGACCAAAAGGGGCUGAGGCGUAGUCAGAAUUCGACAGCAACUCAGUCCCAGCAUUCAAUAUCAGCUGAGUUCAAUCAGGCCUCUUCCUCUACUUCGGCUGCCCAAGAUCUCUAUGAAAUUAAUGAGGAGUCAUAUAAGAAGUAUAAAGUCAUUAGAGACGGUUAUAAGCUGAUCCAAGGCAUGAAUUCAGAGGUACAGCUUUCAACGACUAUGCCCUCAUGAACUGCCUAUGAUCUUUACAACCAUAAUUCAUCGAGUUCCUAGAAACAUACAUCAUUUUUGGUGUUGUCAAUUCCGCAGUUCCUUUUUCAUUUUUUGAAAAUAUGUGUGUAUAUACACAUCUAUGUUAUUGUGCAUUUUGUUACCUUGGUGACUGUAAGAUUACAAACUAACUAUACAUUUGGAGUCCACAAAACAAAUGUGAAAAGAACAACUUUGAUGAUUGCUGGCUUCCUCAAUAAUUUUAGAGGCGCACGCAACCAUUUCCAAUCUGAUUGGCCCUAGCUGGCUGCCAUGUCUAGCGGCUCACAUCCGUCCUGCUUUUGAAAAACAGCAGCGAUGAAUGUAUAAAAAUUAGUUAAAAAAAUAGCACCUCACUAUUAAAAGAUAAAAGAAAUUCACUAUAAAAUUAAAAAAAUAUAUUAUGUUACAAGAUAUGUUUUGGAGUCUCCCAUGCUAUUCGUGCUCAAUUUCGAUACGAACGCUACUAUUCCUAUUAAAAACCUAUAAUGUCAAAUUGGGCUUAAAAUAUCUAAUUUGACCAUUCUACAUAAGAUCUAUUACUCAUCCACAUUUUAAUCUUAUAACUCUAAAACAAAUAAUAUAAUUUUCUGAAUCAAUAUCAAAUUGACAGUUUGACACUAACUAUUCAUAUAUUUGAGCUAUCAAUGAUCAAUGAGUGUCCAAACGAUUCACUUCGCUCCAUUCUACAGCAGCGAAGGAAUCUGAAACCUUAUCAUUGAUUUGACAAAUGCAAUAACCGGCCCUUUCUGUUAGAGUUACUAUCAUUAGUCAUACAAAAUGUUAAACGUUGAUUCCUAUUAAAAAAAAGAAAAAAAGUAAAGGUAUUCGUAUUGCAUGCUCAUGCAUGCACGGAAAGGUGAAUUGAAAGUAAUUAAGAUGGCUGUUUAAUCUUCACUUUUCAACAUUUUGACUAAAGAAAUAUUGGAUGUGCGUGCAUACAGCAUAUUUUAUUUAUGGAGCUGCAUAAUAUUCUAACCUUUUCUACUGUGUAAAUCAAAAAGUAAGGACAAAGGAGAAGAGAACGAUUGGAUGACGUUGGCUGCUAGAGGCAGAAAGAGAGCUGCUCUGCUCAAGGCAUAUUUUGGGUACAAACUUGAAUACAGAUUCCUAUUUUGGGUUUUGCGAAAAUGCUCUUCUUCUUCAAACGUUUUCUACUUCCUGUGCUGGUUAUGAGUUGCUUUUGGGCUCAAAUUUUUGCUGCUGCUAAACUGCCUCGACAUGAAGGUAAGUUCAAAUUUUUGCAAUUUUAGUACAGAUUUUCACUUUUACCAAGUAGGAUCUACUUCGAUUAGUAGGUUUUGAUUGUGUUGGCAGUUGGUUUGAUCCUAUCUCUGAAUAAUUACUUUAUCAAGAUAGUAAAAACCCAGAAUCUCAAAUAUUCUUUUAAAAGCAUUAUUAGCAGAUUUUUUUUUUUUUUAACUUUUAAAUUUUCUGAUGAUGAUGAUGAAAAUGCAGUUGAUGUUCUCAAUCAGAUAGCUCAAACAAUGGGAGCCACUAACUGGACUUUCGGUUCUGAUGCUUGUGAAGAUCACGUCACUAUAAAACAGAUUGUAUUAACAGAUCCUUUGAGAAACAUAACCUGCAACUGCCAAUUUCAGAAUGAAACCUGCCACAUUAUUGCCAUGUAAGUUAGUUGCCUUGAUUCUCUCACGAAUUAGAUGAAAGUAUUUGUAGCAUUCUUUCAAAGAGGAAUCUUGGUCACACAGUGUCAAUUUUUAAUGUAGUAACAAAAAAGUCUGAAAAUUGCUAUUGCCCAUUAAUGGAGUGUGAAAAGUGCUGUUUUUGCGAAAAGGAAAUUUCUUUUCCCAUAAAAUAAUCUGGUUUUGCUUUACUUUUUCGCGGAAUUCAUGCGUUUCAGCCUUCGAGGAACUCUCCCACCUCAAAUUGUCAAUCUUCCUUACCUCGAAAAUGUGUAAGAUUGUACACAACUUUCAGCAAUGCAUAUUUAUUCUAAUUUUAUUGUUCGCUAAUUUUUUAUGCAUUUGGGAUUGAUACCCAAUUUUGUUGAGAGGGUUUCUGUGAAUGCUUGUGAAAGAACUUUAAAAGCACUUGCUGAUGCUUCUCCAUAAAGCAUUUCCAGUACAUUUUUGACCCUCUAAGCAUUUUCUAGAAAUCAUCUACAAGUGCUUCCUCACAAGGAAUUUUGCAUUUUUGUUUAUUUUAGACUAAUGCUACCAAAAAAUAGACCCAUGCCAAAAAUGUAACUAAAUGCACCCCUAUUAGUCUACUGCAUUAUGAAUAUCUUCGUUUCCUUCUUUCUUUUACAGACCAAUUUGUAAAUUUGAUUGAUAUUGUUGUGGAAUGCAGUGAUUUUGCUUACAACUAUCUGCAUGGUUCGAUACCACGUGAAUGGGCCUCGAUGCAACUGAAGUAUAUGUAAGCUAUAUCUACAUCUUUCAAUCGGUCGAGAAAAUAAAAUUUUGUUUGUCUCACUGAAUUAACCAUAUUGGAAUUGUCCAUGCAGCUCUGUUUUUGCAAACCGAUUGUCAGGCAAUAUUCCAAGCCAUUUGGGGAACAUUACUAGUCUCACACUUGUCUCUCUUAAUUUGGACAGGUUUUAUGAAAGAGUCGGAUCUCCAAACAAUUUCUUUUACCUUAAAACAAAUUAAAGCUGCAACUAACAAUUUUGAUUCUGCAAAGAAGAUUGGAGAAGGUGGAUUUGGACCUGUGUACAAGGUAUAUUGGCCAACCUUUUGCCCCUAAUCAUCCUCUUAACACAAAAUUUCCUUCAAUGGUUACUUAAAAUUUGUACAUUUCUUUUUUCGUAACUGGGAUGCAGGGUCAACUAGCAGAUGGUACUAUAAUUGCUGUGAAGCAGCUCUCUUCAAAAUCAAGGCAGGGGAAUCGUGAAUUCUUAAAUGAGAUAGCCAUGAUUUCGUGUUUGCAACACCCAAAUCUUGUUAAAAUUCAUGGCUGUUGUGUUGAAGGGGAUCAACUCUUGCUAGUAUACGAAUACAUGGAAAACAACAGCCUUGCCCAUGCUUUAUUCGGUAAGUGUAAUCUAUUAUUGAUUGCUUGAUUGAUUAUGUGAGAGGAAAAUAAAAUAGUAACUUAGAAACACUAUACAAGUUAUAUAACAAUCUAUUAUUCUCCCUAGUAAUAUCUCUUGGAAUGGUCAUGUUAAGGUGGUGAAAACAGUCGACUGAAAUUGAACUGGUCAGUGAGGCAGAAGAUCUGCCUUGGGAUAGCCAGAGGUUUAGCUUUUCUACAUGAAGAAUCCAGAUUCAAGAUAGUUCAUAGAGACAUCAAAGCUACGAAUGUUCUGCUAGAUAGAGAUUUAAACCCCAAAAUAUCUGACUUUGGACUGGCUAAGCUUGAUGAGGAGGAGAAAACUCACAUCAGUACUCGAGUUGCUGGAACAAUGUAAGCUACAUGUCUCUCUUUUCAAUGACAUUUUGUCACUGUUUUAACAUCAAAACUCAUGAUAAUUUGAUAUGCAGAGGAUAUAUGGCACCCGAGUACGCUCUAUGGGGUUACCUGACCUACAAAGCAGAUGUUUACAGUUUCGGAGUUGUGGCUUUGGAAAUUGUCAGUGGGAAGUAUAAUAUGAGUUAUGUGCCAGACAGUAAUUGCAGCUGUCUUCUUGACUGGGUAUGAGAUUAACUAAAUUUUUAUUCUUUAGGAGUACAUGUAACUCCAUUUUAGUGGGGACAUGUUUGUUUGUUUGUUAUUUAUUUAUUUGGGACAACAGUUGUGGCAUGAGUUUAAAUCCAAUAAAUGUAGAUUUUUUAACAUAAUUGUCUCGGUUAUGUAUUUCCCUGGCCUUCCAUUUACAUCGAAGUGGUACGUUAAUGGAGUUAGUGGAUCCAAGGCUCGGAUCAGAAUUCAACAAGGUUGAAGCAGAGAAAAUGAUUAAAGUAGCACUCUUGUGCACCAAUGUGUCACCUUCACUAAGGCCAACCAUGUCUGAAGUGGUAAGCAUGCUGGAAGGAUCUUCUAACAUUCCGGAUGUAAUCCCUGAAGCCGGUGGUUUGAGUGAAGACUUGAGGUUUAAAACUCUAAGAGACCAUCCAAGAGAAAUGAAUAGUUCGGGUUUGGAAGGAAGUCUGUCUCGUUAUUCAUCGUCAGCCAGCUUCUUGCCUGGUUCUUCCAGCUUCUUGCAUGGUUCUUCCCCUACCGAUGAUGUCCGUGAAAUUAAUGCAGAGGCAUAUUUGAAGUUUAAGGCCAUGAGAGACAGUCAUAUUCAUAUGGAAAGACAAAGUUCGGUUGCCCAAGUAUCAACACCGGUCCCCUCAUGGACUGGCUCUUCAAAAUCUGCCCAUGAUCUUCACAACACAAUUCGAGUUCAGCGGAUGUGCAAAAUCAUCCGCCAGCUAGUUUCAAGUUUCAACAUUCAACUUUUUUGUAACCUACGUCUAUGUGUCAUACCUUCUCGCAUCAUCUUUGUAUCUAAAAUUUUCAGCAAGUACGUACUAUAGAAGUCAUGUUUGUGUGUUUGGAGGAAAGAGUUACCAUUUUUCUGGAGUUGUUGAAAUUACGUGGUUUUAAGGUUGAUGCGAAAACCCAUAGUUUUGGGGAAAAAAAGGAAAGAUAGCAGAACGCCACGUGUCAACGAAUGGAAUAACUUUAGUGUAAUCCGAGGUACCCGACAUGAUUCGAAGUACCCCGCACGGUUAGAGGUACCCGGCAUGAUUAGAGGUACCCAGCACGAUCGAAGGUACUCCGAAUAAUUCCAGAGAAACUCGAGGUACUUCGCAUAGAUUGGGGUAUUCUGUAUUAUUCGAGGUACCUAUAAUAACUCCAGAAUAAUUCAAGGUACCCAUAAUAACUUCAGAAUGAUUCAAGGUACCCGAAAUAAUUCCAGUAUAAUUCAAAAUACUCGGAACAACUCGAGGUACCCGGCAUAAUUCAAGGUACCUAACAUAACCCAGAGUAACUCAAGGUACCCCGCAUAGAUCAGGGUGCCCCAUAUAACUUGGGGUACCCGACAGAUCCGACUCAAGAGUAUCCUUUAAAAAAGUCCGUCAUGAGAAAUAUCUACACCUCUUAAAAGAUAAUAUUCGAUUUAGUCAAAAUUAGGAAAAAAAAAUGUUGUACUAAAAGGGGGGGACAGCCGCCUGCUACCUUUGCCAAAAGUGAAGGACUACCUGACAGCCACUGCAGAGGUACCCUGGACUACUCUCCAGCGUGCGCCACGUUUCCAAAGGAUGAGAUAUGCCGCGAAUUUGCACAUAACGGCCCAAAAAUCAUAAAAAUGUAAAAAAAAGUUAGCCAAAAAGGAUACAUCACAUAACAGUUGAGGUACUCCAUAUAUAAAGAUGUUUAGGUUUUAUUCUCGAUCAGGUUCUCAUUCACCAUCAACACCCACACUCUGAAAAAUAUAUUUUCUUCAACCUUAAAUCUUGAUUUACAGAGGGCUAGUCAGCUCUCUUUGCCAUAAAAAGCUUGAGUUUGCUAAUUUGAGCGUCGAAGUGUGAAUGCCAGGGUACCAGUGGCGGACCUACAGCUGGGCUAGACCGAGCUGUAGCCCGGUCUAGUCCAGAAAAAAUCAUUUAAACCCCUUUUCUUUAGAUUAAUUCUAUAUAAGAAUAGAGUUUUUACUUUAUUUUUAAUAAGUCCUUAAUUCAGUUGCUUUUAUGUUUUCAUCAAAUUUCAUAAAACAAUAGAGUUUUUACUUUAUGUUUAAAUAUAUCCCUAAUUCAAUUAUAUUUUUUUAUUAGUGGCUUAUUUAUAAAAUGAUUAAAUUAUAUACUUAUUGAAUAGAAUGAAAACAUUAGGGGUCGAAAAUGUUAUUACUACUUUAAUUUGUUGUUAAAAUUUUAAUUUAAAAAAGUAUGUCAAUGUAAUAUAACAUUGUCACUAGUGUUAAAAAUACUAAAAAGAUAUAUAAUAAAAAUUAUUAACAAUUUCAUAAAUUUUUUAUGUGAAUGUUGAGAUUUUAUUUAUUAGUUGCAUUAACUAAGAGGAUAAGUUAGAAAAUAAAAUUUGAGUAUUUUGAUAUGAUUUUUUAAAGUGAGUCAGAGUGACUGGCAAAGAAAUAAUGGCGCACAAAUACUUUUUUACUACGUUAGAGUUUAGUUUAUUAUUGAAACUCUUGACAACUAAUAUUUUUAUAAUUUUAAAAGAUGAAUAAAUUUUAAUUGUUUAAUUUAUUUAAGCUUGGUAAUUAAGUACUUUUCAAACAUAAAGUUCUAUUUGCAAUAUUUUAAUUGAUUAUAAUUACAUAUAUUGAUUUAUUCAAACUUGAAAUUCUUAAUUGAUUUAUUAAUUCUUAUAUAAUUAGAUGUUAAUAUAUGUUGCAAUGUUAUAUUCCAUAAUUAAAAAAUAGUAUUUUUAUAUUUAAAUUAUCUUUUGUUUUCUAUUCUUUUUGUAUACUUAUUUUUAUUUAAAGUACAUAUUUAUAGGGUUUUUUGUAUCUCCUUAUUUGAUGUAUUUUUUUUUUUACUUAUAAAUGUUUAUGUUCACUCCAAAAUAUAAAAAUUUUAAUUUAGCCCAGGAUAAUAUAAAGUUCUGGGUCCGCCCCUGCGGGGUACCCCGGCUUUACCUCGAACCUCUAUUUCACUGUUUUACAGGCGUGAAGCUCAUUUGGAAGGACUUUUUUUCUUUGUUAUAACAUUUCUCCAUUGUACCAACAAAGUGUUGGCUCCACUGGCAAAGGAGUCCCCUUAAGUGGCUUGACUGGGUUUGCUCCUCAGUUCGAGUCGCAGGGAAGUCGUCUUUGUUGGGAGAACAUGUGCCUCUCAGUUCGAGCGGGGACUUCUAGUCUGAGUUGUGGUACGGGCUUAAAGGUGUUUCCCACAGUUGGGGCCCUCCCCAGAAUACCUCGUGGUCAAAACCAAAUAUAUAUAUAUAUAUAUAUAUAUAUAUAUAUAUAUAUAUAUAUAUAUAUAUAUAUAUAUUUCUCCAUUGUUACCACUCCCUCUUCCAUUCUCACCUCCUCCAAAUUCAAAAGCACAGCACACAACAAACCAGUGAGGUAUCUCGUCUCCCCUCAAAAUAUAAAUUCAUUAUUUUAGAUAGAUUUAUCUUUUCCUACCCCCAAAAUAUGUCGAAAACACCCAUCAACACUGAAUAAUAUUGUGAUUUUUUUAAUUCAAAUUCCUUCAUUUGGAUGAAUGUAUGUAUAGUAUACAUUUAUAUGUACGAUUUUUAAGAUGUAAUAAAAUUGAUAAUGUUGAUAACACAUAUACAAAGUUUGAGUGAGGAAAUUUAUCUAUUGGUAAUAGCGAUGCUGAUAAUGAAUACUUUAUGAACUAAUGUGUAAAUACUAUAUGCGACCCAACCCGAUCAUUAUUUUUUAAAAUUUUUUUAUGUGAACAUUCUAAGCGUAUCCUUUUUAGAUAAGGAGGGCAAUGCAUUCAGACAAGCCGAAUUCAAAAAUUAAAAGUGAAAAAUACUAGUCAAAGCAUUUGUCCCGAGGGAAAAAGAUACUCAUAUUCUCAAGAUUUAGGAAAAUAAUUAUGUAGACUUAAUUUUUUAAUAAGAGAUACUAAAAUUCUCUUUUGGUUAUAAUACUCUUAGUAAAAAAUAACUAAAAAUUUUAAUUUAAAAAUAUUUAAUAAGUAUAAAUAUAAUUUAAAUAAUUUAAUUUUUCUAAUGUUCUAAUAUUAUUAGAAUAUUUUUUAAUAUACAAAAUUAUCUUCAAAAUGUAAAAUAUUAUACUAAUUUUCAUAAUAUAUUUGUAUUUAUUAUAAAAUUUAAAUAAAUCUUUGGUUAAAUAGAUUUUACAAUUAAUAAAAAUGUGUCUCAUGUAGUAAUAUAAGAUUGUAUAGUAUUAAAAAAUUUUAAAUAUUGAAAUUAUAUCAAAAUGCAUAUAUUGUUACAUUUAUUUUAAUUUCAUAUUUUUAUUCAUUAUAAAACAUUGGAGUCAAUUUUUGUGAGUUAAUAGAGCCAAACAAUAUUUUAGUUAAAAAUGAGUCUUGGUGUUCUUUAUUGCAAACAUGAAUACUUGACCAUUUCUCUAAAUUUUAGGGGUGUAGGUGUCGUUUUCACUAAAUUUAAUAAUAAUGAGAAAAGAAUCAAAGAAAGAAGAGAUAUUUUUGUAACAAGAGGAGUUGCCCUUGAUUUUUAGGACCCGUUUUGUAUUGCUUUUAGAAGACUCAAAUGUAAUUUUAAAAAGUUAUAAAUUAAUUUUAGUAUUUCGUAAAUUUGCUCAAAAAUCCUUUUAACAAAAUUGUCCAUUCUGCAACAUAUUUUGAAAAGCGAGAAAUGAAUAGUUUUUUAGAAUCUGAUUUUAAAAAUCAGUUUUAUACUUAAUACAAUUUCAUAUGUAUUUUCAUAUAUAUUAUAGAAAUAUAAAAUUAUCCUUAUUAAUUAGGAAAUAAAUUUAUUAACGUUAAAGAAAUUAUUAUUAAUAAUUUUUUUCUAAUUUUAUUGAGAUAACAAAAUAAAAAAUAAAAUUAAUAAUAUAAAAUAUUUAUUUUAGCUAGCAAUUAUAUUCACACACACAUGUUUUAUGUUUAUAAAUGUAUAAGUAAAUUUUUUAUUCAACAUUAUGUCAAAUUCAGUCACUUACAUUCUUAUAAUAGUUUAACAAUAAGAUUUAGUCAAAACACAUGCUAUUGCUUGUAAACUCACAAUAUUUUUAAAAAUAAAUUUUAUCAAACGUUUAACUAAUUCUCUUCUACCUAAUUAUUUCUACACCAUUGCUAACAUCAAUUAUUUUUAAAAAGUAUAAUAUUACCAAACUAACCCUUAAUGUGUCUUAGGGAUGGCAAACACAUGGCUUAAUGCUACAGUUAAGGGUGUGUGGCAUGAUUUUUUGAUUGGAUUGUAAUGAAUAUGAUUGAUUAAGAUAAAAUUAAACUAGAUUAGAUUGAGAAACAUUUAGUGGUGUUCUCAUGAUUAGUUUAAUACAUGAUUGGACUAAAUUGUAUAAAUAAAUUUACCAUUAAAUUACUUAAAAUACAAAUAAAUAUAACUCAAUUUAAUUAUCCUUAAAAAAUUAAAUUUGAUUAUAGACUAUAUAAACAUGCACUUCGAUUAACGGAUUUUGGUGGAGUGAAACUAUGGAGGAUUUAUAAGCAAGGGAAUGAACAAUUUUUUUAUGGGAAGAGAGAUAAAAGAUUUUAUUUUAUUUUAUCUUUCUCGUCCACCCUUUAUCGUAUAGACAACUUUUUAGCCUCAAAUUAUCUAGGACAAAAAUUUUAACUAUUAAGGGACUAAAUGGUAAGAUCAUGAUAAUUUAAUUUAACAAAAGUAAACUUUUUUGUACCGAAUUUAUUUUCUACUAAAAUAAACCAAUUCCAUGAUUUUAUUUGCAACCAACAAGCCCCAAUGUUGAAAGGAAACUUUACAUAACUAGCCCAAAAUUUUUUGAGUUUCUAAAAUUGGUCACUCUAACUAUUUCCAUCAUAGUUAGACAAAUACAAAUUUUUUGGACUAAAUUACAUCAUUAUCUCAUAGUUCUCUCUCUCUCUCUCUCUCUCUCUCUCUCUCUCAUACUGUAACCCACUAAUUCCCUCUCUCAAAUAUCCACAGGGGCAACAACCAAGAUCCAACAUUGGAAACACUGCAAUAAUGUCAGCAUAAUGGCUCAUCGGCUUAUUUUUAGCGACAACAUGUCUAUCCUUUAAUUUAUAAGUAUUAAUUUUUUUCGUAGGUUGGUUUUAAGUUAGUUAAUCCUUUAGUUAUUGGAGUUUUCUUAUUGAUUGAUUUUAUAAUUGAGUUUGCACUACUGGUUAUCAUUAGGAUAAUAUUUAUGAAUCUUAUAAAUCAUUUGUAGUUCAAACAGUUAAACUUAUUAUUGGACAUAAUGUAUUUGAGUUAAACUUAUUAUUGGACAUAAUGUGUUUGACGAAAUGUGUGCGAAAGUGAAUGUGUUAUUGUUGCUAUAACUUGCUUUAUAUUGUAUGUUUGAGCAAGAUUGGUCGGAUUGAGCAAUUUUUAUUUUUUAUUUUUUGGUUGGUUCGGUCAUGGUUGUUUUGUGCAUGGUGAUUAGUUUAAGAAUUGUGGUUGGCUUCCCCUUUUUGUGUGAAUAAGUGUUUCUAUCACAUCAAAAACUGCAACAAUCAUGCUUGGUGUGAUGGGCAUAUUUAUCAUUUUAUCUCAUCUGUCCUUAGUAAGAGAGGUGCUUGUUGCACUAAAACUCAGUAUAUAGAUUUUUUUUAAAAAAAUUUUAUUAUAAUUUUAUAAAUAAAUAAAAAUUUGGAUUUGACUGUUUGAGUGUGCCAUUUUUCUGUGAUAGAAUGGUGUAUGCACUUAUUUGGUGCGAUAAACAUCAUAUGUGCUUAUGUUUUGGUGCUUAUCGCAUGGCCUAUUGCACCCGUAGGUUGUGUUUUGGUGCAAGAGGUACUUGCUGCAUUAAACACAAGUGCGACGGUUUUAUUUAUAUACUAAAGUAAACUAGGUAUUUUAUGAAUUCACAUUAUUAAAAAUAAAAUUUAAAACAAACUAAGUAUUUUAUAAACCCACGUUAUUAAAAAUAAAAUUUAAAACAUCAUCAAUAUUAUUUUAUGAAUUUGGUGAAUUGUUGAAGGUUGUGGUGACCGGUGAGGUUCGGAGAUUUUUCAAGAGUACCAUUAACUUUUUCUAUUAUAAUUAGUUAAUUACAAUAUUUUUUUUUUUGUGAUAUUUAUCCUCACUAUAUCAAUAGAUUACCAAACCAAUAGCAUCAACAAAUCAUCAAAUUUCAAGAAAUUUAAAAGAUUUUGGGUUAUUUAUGUAAAUUUUCCAUGUUGAAAAGUUGAAAAAAAGGAAAAAAGCAGCAGUCAACUGAGAAUCCAGUUCCAGCCAACAAAAACGCGUUUUAAGACAUUAUUGUAGUCAAAAGUCAAAGCCCCCACAAGCACAUUACACAUUUCAACACGUACACAUUUGUCCUAAAGCAGCAGCAAUCAAAUAAAAACAAGAGCAACAUAAAAUAAAUAAAAAAAUUAAAAAAAAAAAAAAUACUCUUCUUCAGUUUUCACCAACUACAAGGUCCCUCCUUUCUCCCUUCUCCGUCCCCGACUUGGCCCACAACACAACAACAAAUAAACUGAAAAAGAACAAAAACAAUAUUUUUCAAUUUUUUUUGGUUAUUUUGUUUUUACAUCAUGAGAUAAAUGAACUAUUUUUCUUGUUUAUGAAUGAAAAAAGAAUUCCCGUUCUAUGGAAAAUCAGAUUGCUACUACUCUUCGGUACUCAAUCCAAGCUCUGGGGCGUGGCUUUGAUGUCACAUCUGAUAUAAGGCUUCUUUAUUGUAAGGGAGCACCUGGGUCGAGGCUUGUUCACAUAGAUGAGGAUCAUCAUGCAGGAGAUCUUGUUGUUUCUGAUGGUGUUUUGGUGCCUAAUGUCUCUGUUGAUAUUGAGUGUUCUAAAGGCAAUAGAAGCAUUGAGAGAAUACCUGUUUGCAGCUUCCAUGAGGUGACUGUUUCUCAGAUUUUCAAUCUUCUUUUUUUUUUUUUGGUAUCGUCUGUUGGCUUGGUGAGCUAAAAUUGUUGUCUGGGUAUGCUUAAAUCUUAUUGCUUUAUUGAAAAUUUUCUGGUUGCUGGCAUGCUGGCUUCCUUGCAAUUUGUUUUUUUCCAAUGCUUUAAUUUGAUGAUUUGUUGGGGAUGUGCGACAUUUAUUAGCUUAGUAAGACCAGAAUUCUGUUUUCCUGAUUUCUGCUCUUCAGCUGCUUUCACGUUUAGAAACAUCCAUUUAUUUAUUAUAGGAAUCUGAAUAAUUUCAUACUAGUUGGAUUAACAAACUGCAUUUUGUGAAUAUUGGUUUCUCCCGGCUAAGUUUUGGCGAUGUCUUAAAAUUGAAGCUAUUAGGCUUUUUGGGUAAUUGCAACGUUAUUAUAGCUCCUGUCAUAAGUUCGAUUGAAGUGAAAGAGUUAAUGUUCUAGAUUGAAUGGAAUGUCCGUGUUGUCAAUAGUUUCUGUACAUUAGAAAAUCACGUCGGAAUCAAUGUUUUGGCAUGAGUUUCUUGAUUGCGAUGAACGAAUCUUGUUUCUUGUUAAACUGUGAACUUUUAAUGGAGGCCUUUGAUGCUUGAAAUUCCAGAUGGCAGGAUACUUCAAUGAGAAAUCCGGUAUAUCGGGAAACAUUCCACUUGGAAGCUUCAAUGCCAUGUUCAAUUUCACUGGUUGCUGGCAAGCUGAUGCAGCAGCUACAAAAUCCCUUGCCAUGGUUGGAAAUUUCAUUUCCCUUUAUAAGGUUAAGCUAGCUAAGCUAAAUUUAGUUCUCUGUGAAGAAAUCAGGCGUGCUGUUCCUUAUUCAUGGGAUCCCCCUUUGUUGGCAAGGUAAAGUGGUAAAUUACUAACUACACCAUCUUUGUGUAGUGCUGUACACUCUGACUUCACGCACAUGCACCACAUUUUCUAUACAAUAUCCAUUUGAUAUAUGUUUCCUCAUUUCCACUUCUUUUUUCAUUUUUGCCAGUUUUAUUGAAAAUUAUGGUACCCAUAUUGUUACAUCUAUAACAAUUGGUGGAAGAGAUGUGGUUUAUAUCAGGCAACACCAAUCAUCUCCUUUGUCAAUGAUGGAUAUCGAGAACUACGUGAAAGACAUUGGGGAUGAAAGGUUUAUGGACUCAAAAAGUCAGUCAAGUGCUGCUCCCUUAAAGUACAAGGACAAGGUAGGUUUUCUUUCUAUUUGUUAUUUUUUAGUUAAACCUAACCCUGGUGUGAGCAAGAUUUGAUGUUAAGGCCUCUCAUUUUAUUUAUGUUGCUGCCUCUUCUUUAUUUUUUUAUUUUUAUUUUUUGGAGAUUAGAGCUGUUGUGGAAUUGAACUAUUUAAUCUGCUAGUUUUACCGACUUAUUUGAGCGUCAUUGCACUUUUAACUUGUUACAUUUUGUUUUUGCGAAAGUAAAAUUCUGAUGCACUUCCUGUUUCCUUAACAUAGAUCUUCUCUGGCACUUUUCUGUAAGAAUAUCCGUUUAAAAAAUUUCUUCUUGUAGGAUGUCACAGUCAUUUUUAGGAGGAGAGGAGGUGAUGAUCUAGAGCAAAGUCAUGCUAAAUGGGCAGAGACUGUACAACUGGCACCGGAUGUAAUUAACAUGACAUUUACGCCCAUUGUUUCACUGCUUGAAGGAGUGCCUGGUAUAAAGCAUUUGGCCCGUGCAAUUGAAUUAUACUUGGAAUGUAAGUUUUCACCUAACGGUUAGAUGUUCUUGUGGUUUGAAUUGUUCAUUGAUUUCACUUAUAUUGUAAUGCAUCAAGGAUUCCUAGAGAAUCUAGCAUAUCAUCAUUUAUACUUCAAAAGUCUUCAUGUAGCCGAUUCAAUUGAUUGUCCAAUAGUAUCCCUGAUUUAGCAGAGUCUGGGAAACACCUCAUCACAUUAUCUCCUUAAUCAUAGGAAAUAUUGUAGAGAGUCCUAGUUUGCAUAAGUUCAGUUUCACAUAUUCACAACAGGGUUAGUGUUGCUUUCAAUUGUCCUGUUGUCUUGCUCUUUGUUCUGAUCAUAAAAGAUGGAGCUCAAAUUUGUUGAAAUUUCUACAACAGUGCAUCAGUUACAUUGACUUCAAUCGGUGCUUAUUUUCUUUCACAGUAGAUGUGGCUGUAUUUAUGCAAAUACUAUCACAUUUGCUUUUGUCUUGCAUUAAAAUAGAUUGAUAAUGAUUUACUGAUUGAUUGACUGUUUAUUUCUUUACCAGACAAACCACCGAUUGAGGAUUUACAGUAUUUCUUGGAUUAUCAAAUUCCUCGAGUUUGGGCCCCACAACAUAGUAAUAUUCAAAGAAAGGAGCCUGUUUGUUCAUCCCUUCAAUUUAGCUUAAUGGGUCCUAAGCUUUAUAUUAGCCCAGAUCAGGUAUUUUUCAUUUUUUUUAAAUCUACAGUGUGAGAUUAAAUUAUUAAAUUAUAAUCUACUGAGGUAAUUAUAAUAUAAUUCUUUCAUGUCCAAGUGAAUUAGAGAUAGCCUACUAAUAUCUCUCAUUAUCUGUAGCCCAAUUUCCCGUUCAGUUUAUUUUGCUUUGACGAUAAUGUGAUGGUUUUUGUUCACACAAGAAGAUAAAAAUGACGACAGAAAAAAGUUUAGGUGCAUGUUUAGUUAAAGCGUAAUGCUAUGCUUAGUCAGUUGGGAUACUUAGUUUCUAUCCCAACUGAUAUGCACAGAAGAAAUUAUUGCUUGUAUGAAAUGAAACAUAGUGGUGGCUUCUGGUCUAUCAUUUUGGUGAUCUUUUCUCGGGUGUUGGAAGAUCUUGAAGUUGCGAGUCUUUAAUUUAUAUGUUACUAGCAAAGGCAGAAUCCUUGUGUAAAUCUACAAAAAUGAAAUAGUGAAAUUGUAAUCCUGCAGUGCUGCACCUUCUUUGCCUGGUGUACAUUUAUGAGGGAGAGUAGUGGUUUCAGACCUUUUAGUAGUGGACGUCUCAAAGGGAUGGUCUCCUUCUGCCCUUGUAGUGAAAUGUGCAAAACUAAUAUAUAUCUUAAAAGAGUUGCCUGAUAUUGUUUAGUAUGGCAAUAACUUUUCUCUAGCUAAGCCAAAAUAUGCCAUGAUGUUAUCAGGUAACUGUUGGCCGUAAGCCCGUCACUGGUCUUAAACUUGGCCUAGAGGGCAGCAAACAAAAUAGACUUGAAAUUAACUUGCAGCAUCUAGUGUCUCUUCCAAAGAUCCUUCAACCCCAUUGGGAUGCUCAUGUGGCUAUAGGUGCACCUAAGUGGCAAGGUCCUGAGGAGCAAGACAGCCGCUGGUUUGAGCCCAUCAAGUGGAAGAAUUUCUCCCAUGUAAGCACUGCACCAAUAGAGUAUACUGAUACCAGCAUUGGAGACCUCUCUGGUGUUCAUGUAGUUACAGGGGCUCAGCUUGGUGUAUGGGAUUUUGGAGCCAAAAAUGUAUUACACCUGAAACUCCUUUUCUCCAAAGUACCUGGAUGUACGAUAAGGCGGUCUGUAUGGGAUCACAGCCCUUCCAUCCCUUCCACCUCUCAGAAGCCAGGCAGCGCUUCUUCAUCAGUCUCAAACGAGAAAAUGCCUGAGGAUAAGAGGGAAGAUAGUUCAGGCCACAUAGGGAAACUGGCGAAAAUUGUGGACGUAACUGAAAUGUCGAAGGGACCACAAGAUUUACCAGGUCAUUGGUUGGUAACAGGGGCUAAGCUUGGAGUGGACAAGGGAAGGAUUGUAUUGCGUGUAAAGUACUCUUUAUUGAAUUAUUGAUAGAUUAUUUCUGUUUACUUUUGCAGGAUUAACCCCCUUUAUUCCUCUUACAACCAUAUUCUACAUUCUUUGCACAGGAUAUCCAGUUCUUUCUUCUGUUGUUCAGGACCUUAGGAGUUAGGUCAGCAUUACAUUAUUGAUGUUCAAUUUUUUUUUUUUUUGGGGGGGGGGGGGGUUGUGUUUUGAGGAUUACAGAUUUUAAAUUUAGAUUACUCUGUUAGAGGAAUCGAGUUACAGUGAUGAAAGAGUUACCAAAUGUUUUUGAAUUCAUGGAUUAAGUAAUGAUUUGUUGUAUGUAGUCUGUUUCAAGAUUCUUGUAUACCCAGCGUAAGUGUCAGAUUUCACUCGGCUUUUUCAUCGUAGUCAGGAUCAGGGAUGAUAAUAAGACACAGGUUCCUCCAGACUGCCGUUCUGUUUUUGUAAUGUAAGCAAUUAUAUUAAUAACGCGAACAGUCGAACUCUAAUGGUUUGGGGGCCCAAACAAAAAAAAUGCUAACUCGAACUCAGAAGCCUGAGUUUUACUCUAAAAUACUUUCUAUCUUAAUAAUUUUUUAAUAAUCCUUUAGUCCCUUAGUUUGAGUCAAUUGAAGACAAUUCAUAUUUUUUUAACUAUUACCUAGAACAUCUGUGUCAUUAUAUUCAUAGUAGUUAAUUAAACUUUUCUGAAAUAGAUUUUAACCUGAUAUAAUUUAUAAGAUUCAAAUAAAUCCGAAAUUUAAUAAAUAAAAGUAGAUGAUAAUUAAAUUGAUUUUGAUCAAAACAGAUUUAAGAUAUGGACCUUUUAGGUAAUUUUAGAAAAUAGCUCUUACGCUUUUCGAAUAGUAUUUCAAUUUUAUUCAUUUCAAAUGGUAAAAGAGGUCAUAUUCAUCCAUUAAAUAGUGAUAUACAUCAAGUUUUCUUUAGUGUGGGAGUCCUUAUUUUAUUGUUUCUUCAUACGAACACGCUUUUAAGCCAUGAAUUUUAAUAGAAUCAAGUUUUAGUACAUGUUUGAUAUGUUUUAUUUAAUGAUCAUAAAUGUUUAUUUUAUCUCAUGAGUUUUAUAAAAAAAAUUUAUUGUUGUUUGGUUAUUUUUUAAUAGAGAUUUUGAAUCUUAAAUAAGCUAUUUUACCUCAACUAGUAAAAACUCUAAUUUCAGACUUUUGGUAGUAGAGAUUGAAAGUUUUUUUUAAAUGUUAAAAUGUUUAAAAUAUUCUCUACUUAGUUUACAAUCUUAUUUUAUUCUUUCAUAACAUAACUUUUAAAAACUUACCUAUUAAAGUGAUUUUAUAAUUUUUAAUAAAAGUUAUCAUUGAUAACUAAACAACUAAAAUUUUAACGCAAAUACACUGUUAAAUCGUGCGAUUUAACAUAGUUAAUUUUUAAUACACUAGAAAGCCGUAUAGUUUAAUAGUAUUAAGACUCCAUUUGAUACGACUUUUUUAAAUAGAGCUUAUUUAAAUAAAGUUUUAAUUAGUAGAAUUUUUAUAAAUAGAGUUUUUAUCCACAAACACAUGUACACACACAUACACACACACUAAUUUGCAAUUUUACAUGAUAUAAAAUUAUCAUUUUAUUGGAUGCAAUCAACUUCAGAUUAAAAUGUUGGGAUACUAUGUCAUUAACAUUUUUACCUUUUGGAAAAGACAUGAGCCGGCAACAAGUAGAUUAACAUAUAGACUGGAGGUAACACUCAUUCAAUUUCACACUGGACAACGAGCAAUGCAAUAAGCUCGGAAAAUUUUUGUUGGUCGUCCAUGACCAAUUCAGUAUCAUUUAAUCAGUCCAAUGUGGGAUCACAAAAGUUUCUGUCGUUAUUUUGUUUUAAUUUUUCCUUAUUAACAAUAGACAUGACCUUUUCAAUGAAAUCACUUACAUUCUUGGACCCACUUCAGAAAAUAGAAUUAUAUCUGCUUAAAUGCCUGCAGCUUCCGGUAAAGAGACAUUUGGCUAAACAAAUCAAUAGGCCACCUUCAUAUUUAAUUUAAAAAAAAUAAUCAACACAAAUUGCUGGAAUGUCUGAAAGGAAGAAACUGAUGACUGCGAGCGAAAAUACAACUGGAGAAGUGUUGAGAUGCUUUUGGAUUAAGCAUCAUGUCUUUCUGCUUGUAAUGUUUCUCAACUUAAAAUAUUUACUUUCACGCCAUUGUAUGCAUCCUGUUGUCAAAAGCCUGACAGAUACAGAGAAUCUCUCGGCCCAGAAGUCGGCAAGCUUUCAAUAGCGUAUGCAAACAAGCAGAAGGGCCUAAGAAUUGUGGUCGCCAAGUCCAUAUUCGGAUGUUGAGUUCGUACUCUUUAUAUAUAUAUAAAGCUUAAGCUAUCUAUUCUUCAGCAUUAAGGCACCAAAUCAGCUGGGCUACCUUGAAGCUAUGGUACUUUCUAGUUCACAAUUGCUUAUGGCUUUUUAGUUAAGUUAUGUUUUUCAUUUAACCACCAUUAACUAAUUUUGUGAUUUCCUUAUAGGAGAACCUUGAGCUUGUUGAAGGAAAGGUAGAUUGGAAAGGAAGACCAGCUGUGAAGUAUAAGCAUGGAGGAAUAAAGACUUCUUUGCUCAUACUAGGUCGAAACUCUAUCAUGCAUGGUCUAGAUUUUGAAGUAUAAUCAGAGAGGUUGUGAAGGUCGUUUCAGUCUUGUAAUAACUAUAAUGGUUGUGUUUUGUGUUGCAGCUGCAUUUGGUUUCGAAAACUUGGCAACUAUAGCACUGGGAGUGAAUUUGGUGACAUACUUCAAUGGGGUGUUGCACUUAGAUCUAGCUGAGGCAGCUAACCAAGUGACCAACUACAUGGGUACUAGUUAUAUCCUCAGCAUUGUAGUGGCUUUGCUUGCAGAUGCUUUCAUUGGCAGAUUCAAAGCUGUGCUAAUUUCAGGAAGUGUUGAGUUUCUGGUAUAUAUGCUAAUUCAGCUCCAACAAUAAUAAUAAGCCAAAUUUGGCUAUGCUACUUACAAACUCGUUGGUAACUGUUUUUCUUUCUUCUUUUUUUUUUUCCUUCUCUCUCGUCCAUCCAGGGACUAGCAUUGAUAACAAUCCAAGCUCACUACCCCGAUCUUAAGCCACCUCCUUGUAAUGUCUUUGAUCCGACUGCUGGUUGUAAGAAGAUUGAAGGUAGUGAUGCUGCGCUUCUCUUUGUUGCACUCUACUUGAUAGCCACUGGCACAGCAGGAAUUAAAGCUGCACUUCCACCUUAUGGUGCUGAUCAAUUUGAUGAGAAAGACCCAAUAGAGGCUAGACAAAUGUCCAGCUUCUUUAAUCUGCUCUUCCUAGCAGUGUGCAUAGGCGGUGCAAUUAGUGUAACCCUCAUCGUGUGGAUCCAAGAUAACAAAGGAUGGGAUAGGGGAUUUGGUCUCUCUUCGGUUGCCGUAUUCUUGGCUACGAUCAUCUUUGCAGCCGGAUUGCCACUGUACCGAUUUCAAGUUGUUCAAGGAAGUAGUGUGCUCAUUGAAAUUAUACAGGUAUUUUAAUUUUAUAUAUAUAAUCUAGUGAAUAUUUCCGUACUUUAUUAAAAUGCGAAAAUGCUAUUAUACAUCUUGUAAUAUUAUUUCUGUACUUUAAUAAAGUGCAAAAACUCACUAAAUACUGAAUUUAUUUAUAUAUUUGAACUUUAAAUUUUACAAAUUAAGAAUUAAUGAUUUAAUAAUUUUUUUUUCUUGUCUUCAGGUAUAUGUUGCUGCCAUUCGAAAUAGGAAACUUGAACUUCCUGAAGACCCUAUGGAGCUCUAUGAGAUUAACAUGGACAAAGAAGCUGCUAUAGAAACAGAAUUUCUGCCUCACAGAGAUAUUUUCAGGUUAAUUUUAAAUUUUGUUACAAACUCCUUAUACAGACAUAUAUACCAACAUCUCAUAUAGAAAUUAUCCAAGUACAAAUGCCAAUAUAUUAAAUUUGUGUUAUGACAUUCAGGUUCCUAGACAAAGCAGCAAUCCAGAAAACAUCCACAGAAAAUCUUGAGAUAACAGAAGCUCCGAAUCCAUGGAAACUUUGCCGGGUAACUCAAGUAGAAAAUGCAAAGAUCAUCCUAGGCAUGAUUCCAAUUUUUUGUUGCACUAUUGUGAUGACACUAUGCCUAGCUCAGCUCCAAACUUUCUCCAUCCAACAAGGUCUAACGAUGGACACAAGCGUCACUACAUCAUUCCACAUACCACCAGCUUCAUUACCCAUCCUCCCAAUUUUAUUCAUGAUCCUUGCAGUUCCCGUUUAUGAUAGAAUAUUUGUACCCUUUGCUCGCAAGAUCACAGGCAACCCAACAGGGAUUACUCACUUGCAACGCGUAGGAGUUGGCUUAGUCCUUUCUUGUAUCUCCAUGGCUAUUGCUGCAGUAUUUGAAGUGAUACGCAAAGACGUGGCACGUGAUCACAAUAUGCUUGACGCUAUCCCAGUAGUACAGCCAUUGCCAAUCAGCACAUUUUGGCUAUCAAUUCAGUUCUUUAUAUUUGGAAUUGCAGACAUGUUCACAUACGUAGGAUUGCUUGAAUUUUUCUAUUCAGAGGCACCAAAAGGGAUCAAAUCUCUUUCUACUUGCUUUCUUUGGUGUUCCAUGGCGCUUGGAUAUUUUUUCAGCACCAUUUUGGUUAACAUAGUUAACAGUGCAACAAGGGGAAUUACUCAAAGUGGAGGCUGGUUGGCAGGCAACAAUAUUAACAGGAACCAUUUGAAUCUAUUCUUCUGGUUGCUUUCUGCAUUGAGCUUCAUCAACUUCUCUGUGUAUUUGUUUAUGUCUAGUCGGUACAACUACAGACCUCAGACUUCUGUUGGAGGGACAGCAUGCAAGAGCUUUAGCCAAGAUUUAUCGAAGUAGAAUGAAUAUUUGUGGGGCAAAAGCGAAUUAUUAAUGGAAAAUUGUUAGUGUAUGCCUGUGUGUGUGUGUUUUUUUUUUUGGUCCCCUCUAUAAUCUCUUAAUUUGUAGUUAUUUGAAUUUGAUACGUUGUGAUAGAAAAGGGAAACGUGAAAAUGUAAUAUUUAUUUCAGAAAUUUCAUUUCUCAAUUCAAGUGAUUUGGCAGUAAGUAUCAACAGACAUAGUACAAUUGUAUAUAAAAUAACAUAUGGUUUAAUUGUGAGGAUCUAGAGAUACAUUCUAAAUUAAAGUAAAAAUUAAUUUGAUUCGUCGGUUUAAGAUUGCUAUAAUUUUAACAUGCCUCAAGAAUAUGAGAUCAAUACUAAAGUGAAUAGCGCGUAUAUCAACUAGUAUGAGGUUAUUCUAACUUAACCAAAGUUUUCGGUUCGAGACUUGGAAAUACAUUUACGUUAAAUAUUUAUUAGAAGAGAUUUGCCGUCCUAGCAAUUUUACCCAACUUGAAUCUGAAUUAGUCGGAGCCCAAUGUAAUUUUUAGAUACCAAAUAAUUUAAUAUAUCGAAAAAGAAAAGUGAAUAUUUUACUAAUUAAUGAAUUAUAUUAACAUCUUUCACAUAAAAUUUCCAAAUUAACUAGCUAGUCAUUUUACUUAGCUAGGUACCAAAAUAGUGGCAUAGAUCUUGAUGAUCAACUAAGAAGGCCAAGUUUAGCUCAAACUCAUCCAUUUGUCCGCACCCUUCACGAUUCUUAGCCACCUCCUAAGUCAUAACCAAUGCAUGCACACGUGUACUCGCUUUAACUCCCCCACGUCGUUUUCCAAGCACUCAGAUAUGCAUGCAUCUCUCAGAAUAGCAUAUAUAUAUAUAUAUAUGAACUGAACUAGCAACAACCGAAUACAGAAAACAUAGAUCAAAAUUCAAAGGCGGUAGCUAGGUAGCUGCGUUUUAUGAAUUAAUGGCAUCAAGUGACAAGUCCCCGGAACCCACACCGCCGUAUGGAGGGGAGCAGCCGCCAGGGAAGCCUAUGACGAUGAAGCAACACGUUUUGGACAAGGGAGCGGCGAUGAUGCAAUCUUUGAAGCCCAUAAAGCAGAUGAGCCAACACGUUUGCACUUUCGCCUUGUACAGCCACGACAUGUCUCGCCAGAUCGAGACUCAUCACUAUGUGUCUAGACUCAACCAAGACUUCCUCCAAUGCGCCGUUUAUGACUCUGAUGACUCCACUGCCCGUCUCAUAGGUAAUUUAUUUAAAAAUAAAAUACCCACCAAACCCGUUAUUAAUUUAUCCUUUAGUUUAAUUUUGUGUAUUUUCAUAUUAUUAUUAUUAUACACGUCAGGAAUGCUUUAUUUACUGAUAUAUUGUGAAUGAAAUAUUGACCUCAAUUUGUAUGUAUCGUUACAGGUAGGGUACCCUCGGGGAUUUUCCCCAUUCGGGGAGGGUAUGGGGAUAAUUUCAUACCCAAUUUCUUAUUCGGGGAGGGGACGGGGAAAUUUUUUUACCCAAUUUCUUAUUCGGGGAGGGGACGGGGAUGAGGUGGAAUCCCCAUCCCCUACCCAUUUCCCCAUUUUAAUUUUUAAUUUAAUUUUAAUUUUUUAAAAUUAUUAGUAAAUAAAUUAUAAAAUUUAAAUUAUAAAAUUAUAAAUAUUGGUAAAAAUAAAAAAUAUCAAAAUAUUUAUAUUAUUAAACUUUUAGGCCUAAUUAGCUAAUUAAAGUUCUAAAUUUUUAUUUAGGACAUUAAAAAGACCGAGUAGAUUCUAUUAGCCAAACAUUUUUUUUUAAUUUUGAUAUUCUUUAAAUAUUUUAAACUUAAAUCUAUUUUUUAUUUAAUUUUAGAUGUUAUAAUUGUCCACAACGAAUCACAAUUUUAAUAUCUAAUCUAAUCUAAUCUAAUAUUUACUUUUAAUUUGCUCCGAUUUAACUAUUGUGUUGUAAAGGGAAUAAUUCACAUUUAUAAAGUGCCCACGCCACCAUUGAAAAAGUUAAUUUUGAAUCUAAAUUCGAUUUUAUUUGUAACAAUUUUGUAUUAGACUAUUAAUUUGUUCAUGAUAGUUUGUAAAAUAAGUUUGUAUCCCUUGCAUGUUGCGUUACUUACUAAUUUAAUGUAUGUGACUUUUGUAAUAAAUAUUAAUGUAAGAUAUAUUUCGAACUUUAUUUUUAUUUGAAUUUUUUAUUUUAAUAUGAUUAACUCAAAAUAAAAAAAAAUGUAUUAGUUAUUCGGGGAUCGGGGACCCUCGGGGAUCCCCUGUUAUUAUUCGGGGAGGGGAUGGGGAUUCUCUCAAGUAAUUCUGACGGGGACGGGGAGGGGAUGGGGACAUACGCAAAAUAUCGGGGAUGGGUACGGGGAGAUCGGUCCCCUCCCCUCCCCUCCCCAUUGCCAUCCCUAGUUACAGGAGUGGAGUAUAUUGUUUCUGAUAAGAUAUUUGAAGCUUUGCCACUGGAGGAGCAAAAGCUAUGGCAUUCCCAUGCUUAUGAGGUUAAUUAAUAAACUAUGUACUUAUUAUAGUAUUCCUUGCAAUUAUUUUUGGAUCAUUAUGUAAAAAAAGUAUGUGUGUGUGUGUGUGUGUGGCAGUAUUAAUAAAUAAUUAAUUGGAAUCAUCCAAUAUAGUUUGUUAAUUAAUCCAGGUGAAAUCAGGCCUAUGGGUUAAUCCUAGAGUUCCAGAAAUGAUAGGGAGACCGGAACUGGAUAACAUGGCGAAAACCUACGGCAAGUUUUGGUGCACUUGGCAGGUUGAUAGAGGUGAUAGGCUGCCACUGGGUGCACCGGCGCUGAUGAUGUCUCCACAGGCAGUGAACUUGGGCAUGGUGCGCUCAGACUUGGUUCAGAAAAGGGAUGACAAGUACAACAUAUCAACUGAUGCGUUGAAGCAAUCGAGGGUGGAGAUUGACGAGCCUGAAUGGAUUAGUCCACAGGCUGACUACUGGAAGCAGCAUGCCAAGGGCUUUGCCGUCGAUAUUCAAUCAAUCGAAAUGAAGAAGAGGGCACCGUUUCCUUGAGCUUCGCACAGCCACAGCCACAGCCGCAGCCUCAGCCUCAGCUUCUCUCUUUCAUGUUCAAGUGUUGUUUCGUUGCAUGUUACUCUAUAUUAGUCUUUUGUAAAAUCUGUGUAAACGUGUUGCUGCUUUUUUUUUUUUUUUUUUUAAUGUAUUUUCUGCUACGGAAGUCUGAACCUUCUGCUUUAUUUGUAUGUAUAUUUUGUAGCUUCCAUGUCAACACUUGGCGUUUGCCAUGUUUGUGGUCGUUUCCAUGUCAACAUUUUGGGUGUCUGCCGUGUUUGUGAUUGUUUAUUUCUUGAAUUUUUCAUGAUGGUAGUCUGUAGACACACUGGAAUUGCCAACGUACCUAUAAGGCUAUAAAUUAGCUUCUAAGAAUAUAAUUUCUCAGAGGUAGAUUUUUAUAAUUUAGAUUGGGUUAAUAAAAGUUCCAAGUUAUUGUUCCAAAUUAAUAUAUCCACAGUGCAUGGAUAUAUUAAUUAAAUAAACGUCCUAUUAAAAUAUGGCUUGAAAAAUUGAUAAUAUAAUACAGAAAUAAAUCUUCACUAUGUAAAUUUUUUUUAAAAAAAAACAAUACAUUGAAAUUAUGCUUAGAAAAUUUAAAAAUGGGUGUGUUACAGGAGAACUUUUUAAGAAGUUACUCACCUAUCUUCAUGGUACUUUUUUUUUUAAGUACUUUUUUUAUCGCUCCAUGUGUAUGCUAUUGAGUAUAGAGAUUUUAUUUGAUAUUUAAAAGUUUAGUUUUUAAGUUGUGGAUGCCGUAAAAAAAAUUAAUUAUAAAAUAAAAAUAAAUUACAUAUGAUUUUUAAUUUUUAUUAUAAAAUAAAAAUUAAUAAUAUAGAAUAAAUAUAAUUUUUAAAUAAUUAUUUUAAUAAAAAUAAUAACUAUUACAUUUUUACAUCAUAAAAAUAAUUAAUAUUUUUUAAAUUUUUAAUAAUUUUUAAUUUAUAACCGUCCAACCAACCAACCAACCAAUAUAUAGAUUGAACCAAAUCAACAUAAAUUGUGAGUUUUUCCAGGCAAUUCCUAUUCGGAGAAGCAAACCCAAUGCUAGUACUUGCGAAUUUAGGACUAUAAUUUAGUCGAUCUCGCAUAACACAUGGACGGCCAAGAUCAAGUCAGAGGAAUAAACGAAAAUGCCCUUAUUUACUCGCGCCGCAUGUGAUUACACCACUUAUUCAGAUCCGCAGCAUAUAUCCAGCCACGCGCCAACUGUCCCAUCUCGCCAAUGCCGCGGACACCUGGAGAUCCCCAGCAAAGAAAGCUGCGAAACUCAUAAUCAACUCACACUUCCCUCUAGACUGAACCGAACGCUUGUUGAUUUAUCUUAAUCAUUAAUGGAAGCCCCUGAAACGGUCGUAGUUGAUAAAAACGAAAAGGAUUUUUAUUCUGUGUGGGCGAUUCCACCUGAUGAGGUGAGGGCGAGGGUGAAGAAGUUGAUGGAGGGUCUGAGGUCCGAGUUCGGUGGGCCCCAGUUCGAGCCGCAUGUUACUGUUGUUGGGGCCAUGAGUCUGACGGCGGAUGAUGCGUUGGAGAAGUUUAAAUCAGCGUGUAACGGGCUUAAGGCGUAUAACUGUACUGUGGAUCGGGUGGCCACUGGGACUUUCUUUUACCAGUGUGUUUUUCUGCUGCUUCAUCCCACGCCUGAGGUUAUUUGUUUUCAUUUAUUUAUUUUGGGAAAACUUAGCAGUUUUUGAGAUCAUAAUGAUAAAUAUCGUCUUUUUUUUUGGGGGGUUUUUCAGGUGGCGGAACCUAGCUCACAUUGCUGUGGCCAUUUUGGUUACAAAUCCUCCACACGUUAGUUCUUGAUUUUUUUUUUUAAUUUUCGUUAAAACUCUGAUUUUUGACUGAGGCUAUUAUGUUAAAGGGCACCAUGAACGGAAUUUUUAGGUUUAAAUUCUCUGGAAAGGUGCUAAUAGAAGCUGCUGGUGUUUUCUUGGGCACAUUUUAGGAUAAAGAGACAUCUGAUUAUGUUAUAUUUGAGGAGAUAAAAUUCUUAUGAAUAUGUGACGGUGAUUUUAAUAUUUUAAGAGUGUAAAUGCCAAGACAUUUCUUGAAAGUUUGAAUAUCUCAAGUAACAUAAAAGCUAAACUGUUAUCAUUCUCUAUUGUAAUGUUAAUUUUGAGUCUCAUCUGGUUGUAAACACUGAGGGACAAUUUUAGUAUUGUAUGUUUUGUUCUGUAUCCUGAUAUUCAGGUCCCUAGAUUGACAGGUGCUACUUAACUAAGUCUUGAUUUCAAACUAUUUGAGAUUAGUUGCAUGAAUCAACUUCCUUCAGUCUGCAUUAUCUGGUGUAAUGUUUUCUAUUUGUUGGAAGUUGUAAUUUUCAGAUCCCAGAUAAAACAAGUACAGCAAACCUUUUCUGAGAGCUUUAAGAUGAGCUCUUUUUCACAUGACGUGGCACGUAUGUAAUAAUAUAUAGCUCUUGAGAUUUGUGAUGCUUGCUAAGACUAUGGAAAUGCUACGUAUUUAGACAACUCAUUAGGUAAUGUUGCUUGGUUGUAAUGGAUGUUUUAUGUCAUUUGAAUUUAUGUGGGAGAUUAGAAGAGUACAUGUUUUAGUUGAAGGUUGCAGUUGAUUGUGUGAUAUGAUUCAUUCCAGACUUGUAAUUGAUCUUUAACAAAGAUAAGUAAUGGCAUUUCAAUCAAAACUUUGAAAUGUUAAUGCACAGUUCUUGCAUAACCGAGAUAUUGUUUUGCAGCUUACAUGCCACAUUUGAGCCUCCUUUACGGGGACCUCACAGAUGAUGAAAAGAAAAUUGCACAAGAAAAAGCUCACAAACUUGAUGAGAGCAACGGCAGUUUGAGCUUCCCGAUCACUCGCCUUCAAUUGUGGAAGACAGACACAGAGGAUACCAGUCUCAAGUCUUGGGAGAGGGUUGCUGAAUGCAACCUGAGCCCAGAUUAGCUCUUUUUGAUUUGAAUAACUAGCAUUAUCUUUCUUCUUUUUUGUGUGUGUGUGUGUGUGUGUGGUUGGGGGGGGGGGGGUGUGUUUGUGGGUGGUGAUACUGAUCUGAUCUCGCCCAAUGAUGAGUGUAGUAUGCAAUAAUAAAGCACCCCAUCUCGUCCAUUGUCUGUUGUCAAUGAUAUUGGCUGUCUCCUCUUGUGUUAUAUAUAUGGCCGAUUGAAUAAUAGUGUAAAUGAAUCUUGAAAGGGUUUAGUAAAUCCAGUUCCAGUUGUCAUACAAAACUGUUUCGACAAUUUAGCUAAACAAGCUAUAGACUCUCUUAUGAGUUAUCAUUCAAUUGCAGCAGAGGAUUUUGCAUAAAAAUCGUGGAUUCAGACGUGUUUAGACUGCAGAUGAUGAGACUGAUACAACAACCUUGGGCGUUGUGCUUGGAUAUUCACUUACAUAACAGAGGCGUAGGUUGGAUGCCAAAUUUGUUACAACUACUCAGCUGCCUAUAACAUAUAGGCCUACUAAUUUGGGCUCAUUAUCAUCCAGGGACAUAUGAGCCGGAAAAAGGAAAUGCUAGGAAACUUGUGCGUAAAAAUGAGCAGCAAAAGUUUCAUCUGGGAAGUCGAAACUGCUAGAAGUUCCAUAUGAUUUUACCCAUUGUCACGUGUGGUAAAUUACAUUAGUCCUUGUUUCCAAUAGUCAACAGCAGCCUUCAUCAUAUAGGCCUACUAAUUUGGGCUCAUUAUCAUCCAGGGACAUAUGAGCCGGAAAAAGGAAAUGCUAGGAAACUUGUGCGUAAAAAUGAGCAGCAAAAGUUUCAUCUGGGAAGUCGAAACUGCUAGAAGUUCCAUAUGAUUUUACCCAUUGUCACGUGUGGUAAAUUACAUUAGUCCUUGUUUCCAAUAGUCAACAGCAGCCUUCAUCAUAUAGACCUACUAAUUUGGGCUCAUUAUCAUCCAGGGACAUAUGAGCCGGAAAAAGGAUAUGCUAGGAAACUUGUGCGUAAAAAUGAGCAGCAAAAGUUUCAUCUGGGAAGUCGAAACUGCUAGAAGUUCCAUAUGAUUUUAUCCAUUGUCACAGUGGUAAAUUACGUUAGUCCUUGUUUCCAAUAGUCAACAGCAGCCUUCAUUUGUUUCUGGGUGUUUAUGAGCUGGACUGGAUCACUGUUCUGUAUCGCUAAACCAAAUACUAGUCAAAACCCCACCCACACAAGUGACGCAACUCACAGUCUCAUCAGAUCAUAUUCCCUUCAAUGCUAGAGUAAAGAUAAGAUUUCAAGGUCAAGUAAUGCCACCCCAAUUUCACUUUGGUAGAUUGGACAUUAGUUUAUGAUUCAACAAUUUGUAAGGCCGCUUGCUUAAAGUGUUAGCAAAUUUGACUUUGCAUUAAAGGAAUGAAUCAAAUUUGGGUAUAAGCCAGCUUUGUUUAACUUGCAGAAUCAACGGAUAAUAAUUUUUUUUAACAUUAAUUCUCAUAAAAUGAUUGAAGGAGUUUCUUCCCCGUUUUUUUUUUUUUCAAGAAAAGAUAUUCCCUUAUCCAGUUGAUUAUGUGCAAAAUUGAUAUCUUUCAACUAUAUCAGCAAGUUGAGAGAUAAUUAAGAUAAGUAUCAAAGUUGCUGCACAUGACAAAUUCGGUCAACAGGUAAAAACGCAAUUAUAAUAAAGAAAAGGUUCAAUUAACUUUUAAAAGUUCACCAAAACACAGGAGAAAUUGAGCCAAAACACAGGAGAAACUGAACUUUACCAACUACUAAUCACGUUUUCUCCUAAAGUGGUAUGGACUGUGGUGCUGCCUACAAUCAUCUGAAACCCGCCAUGGCAGCCAGUAACUGCAUUAACGCCCUUUAACUGACAGCCUGGCCGGGAUGCCGUUAACCCUAAGGCUCACGUUAGUCAACUUCUAUUUACCUUUCGCCUGAUCCGCGUGCGCCGACAUCUUGUUCACGUGCUUUCCAUGCGCGUUGCCCACGAUUUUCCUCCCAAUUGAACGUUAAUACAUUCAUUUUUCACCAAAAUCGUCAACGUUACCAAACCCCUCUUUAACUUCAGGACACGCACAAGCACACUUAUUCAGAACAACGUUACUAAAAUCGUGAAGUGUGAUCUCUUCUUAAUCGUCUCUCUUCAAAUAUCUCAUAUUAUAGAUCUCCUCCAAUUCUAGUUUAAGCACAGUUUUAUUUUCAACAAUUAAAGAAAAAACAAAAGAAAUAUAUUCAGCCAGAGAGUAUGGAGACGAAGGUUCCUGUGAGGACGACAUUAUUGAAGCAGUCGUCGUUGGCGCCGGAUCGCGAGCGGAAGGAGGCGGAGCUAAACGGCUUAGAUGACGACGGUGAGGAAAUUAAACCGGAGUUCAGGCUGAUGUACUUAGCAAAUGAACGUGACGUGGAAGGAAUCAAGGAGCUCUUGGAUUCUGGCAUCGAUGUCAACUUUCGAGAUAUCGAUAACCGCACAGCUCUCCAUGUGGCCGCCUGCCAAGGCUUCACCGAAGUUGUUAGCUUGUUGCUCGAACGUGGCGCCGACGUUGACCCCAAAGACCGCUGGGGAAGCACCGUGAGUAACAAUGAACUUUCAAACCAACCCUGUCGUUUUGGUAAUUGAUAAUUGGUAAUUUUUGUUUUCAAAUUUGAUAAUCUAGUGUUGUUUAAACAGCCUCUUGGAGAUGCUAUAUAUUACAAAAACCAUGAGGUGAUCAAACUCCUAGAGAAACAUGGAGCAAAGCCUCUGGUAUGGAUUUCUUUUCUAGUUUAUGCUAAUGAUUCGAAAUUCUUCAUGUUCAUACAAAGAAUUUCCGUAUGCACUGUUUCAAGUUAUUGUGAAUUGAUAUUUCAGAUGGCUCCAAUGCAUGUUAAACAUGCUCGUGAAGUCCCGGAAUAUGAAAUUGACCCUCAUGAACUCGAUUUUACUAAUAGCGUUGAGAUUACUAAGGUAAUUUGUUGUUUUUCAAUAUUUGGAUAGCUGGGAAGUGAAGUUGUAUUUUAAUUCUAGUGAUUGAUUGGUUAGAUAAUGCCCAUAAAUAUGGUAAAUUUGAUUACAUAAUAAUACCUUACAGAAGAUGAAUGUGUAGUAAUCCAGGGGACUUACUUAUCAGAAGUGUUGUAAGAUGGAAUAUGAUAAUCUGCAUAGUUCUUUGCUGGAGGUUGACAUUGAUUACUAGUGGAGGAAGUUGAGUUGCUUUAUUCCUGGAAUUGUUUGUUUUAGCAAUGUAUCAGAAUACACAGGAGGGAUCUUAAGGUUAGAUAUUGCAAUGCAGGUCUCGCUUAAGGGGUUAUAGGAGAUUUGCCAAUUAGAGCAAGGUUAAUGCAAUUUUGUGAAAUAUGCUGAAAUGAAGGUUCAAGCAAGUGGAAGGCCCUAGCUGACAGCUUAAAGGAAUUUUUAUAAAGUUAACAUUGUUCAAAGAAGGAGGCAAAAGAGAAAAUACAUCAAAUUAAAUUCUCAAAAAUUUUAUUUGUCAAAUUGCUGAUGUUGAGGAAAUGAGGUUUUUUUUUUUUUUUCCCCUUCAGAAGUGUAGUGGCUCUGUUUCCGCUUGCCACUGUUUCAUCUUUAACAAAGUUAUUAUUAAUAUAUGCCAGGGGACAUUCAUUCUUGGAUUUUGGCGUGGAAUUCAAGUCGCUGUGAAAAAGCUUGGGGAAGAAGUGAUUUCUGAUGAUGAUAGAGUGUAGGUUAUUCGUCAAUUGAGAAAAUCUUUUGUUCCUUUUCUUGCUCUGACAACUUGUUUCUUCCUCUAUUUUUUCUCACUGUUUGCCUGUUCUCAAUCCGGUUAUUUUGUGCACAGGAGGGCAUUUAGAGAUGAGCUUGCAUUGCUUCAGAAGAUACGACAUCCAAAUGUUGUCCAAUUUCUGGGUGCUGUAACUCAAAGUAGUCCUAUGAUGAUUGUAACAGAAUAUUUACCGAAGGUCUUCCCUAACCCUUGAUUCACUGACUUUCAAUAUAGCUAUCCUGAUGAAGUCUGGAAUUAUUUCUCUUUGCUGAAUCUCUAACUUAUUUUUAACUUUUUUCUGUUGGGCUUUCAUUUUGCUAUAUUGACUUUUUGAUUUAGAAUAUUUUUGUUACCUGCUAUUUUAAGUUCUAGGAUAGUCAAUGUAAAAAGUAUUUCCUAAUUAUGGUUUCUGUUCAAAUUUUAGGUUCACAACAUGCCACAUAUUUGUGAAACAAUGACUUAAAUUGAAUCAAAUCGCUGGUGCUUUGAUUUUUGUGCCUAUAGUACUUAUCUUGUUUGUAUAGAAAGAAAUUUAGAGCUAAAGUAGUUAAAUCUCAUCAUGAAGCUUGGUUAUGUAAUUAUAUAUAUAUAAGUUUUCUUUCAUGUUGCAGGGAGAUCUUCGUGCAUUCUUGAAAAGGAAAGGAGCUUUAAAACCAUCAACGGCUGUGAGAUUUGCGCUUGAUAUUGCAAGGUAAUGUGAUGAAUUUUAGUUACAAAUAACAAGUUAGUUCUAACAGUAAAACUAUGAGCAAUACUAUUUUUGCAUUUGUUAUCUUGGUCUGAACCAUUCAUACUUCCAGCUUAGCUGAAAGAUUGUUAACCUGUCUUUAAUUGUAGAGGAAUGAAUUAUUUGCACGAGAAUAAACCGGUACCAAUCAUUCACCGUGAUCUAGAGCCUUCGUAAGUUCUUUUACAAUACGAUUUUGGUUUUUCUUACUCAAAAGUAAUUUGGUUGCCUCUGUUUCCUAAUAUUAUUAGGGACCUUUAUGUUGCUUAUUGGCAAAAUGACAGAAAUAUAUUGCGAGAUGAUUCUGGAAAUCUUAAAGUUGCAGACUUUGGAGUUAGCAAGCUGCUCACAGUUAAAGAAGAUAGACCUCUAACUUGUCAAGAAACUUCUUGUAAGUGCUGUUGCUUGUCAGAAUAUUUCAUUUAAUUCUUUUUUAAAGAAAAAAGUGUCUGAAUUUCCCAAUUGAGUUUCUUAUUUAUUUAUUCAGAGUAAAACUGAUAUUGUGACCUUUCAUUUUUAGUUGAAGGUACACUUAUUGAUUGUAAUUGAAAUGUGUUAUUUGUCACUGACAGGCCGGUAUGUGGCACCUGAGGUUUUCAAAAAUGAAGAAUAUGAUACCAAAGUAGAUGUGUUCUCAUUUGCUUUUAAUAUUGCAGGAGGUGAAGUUUUAUAAUCAAUGAGCAGUGUAUUUAAAUUACGCAAACAAUGUUGAUUAUUUCUUGCUUAAUCGCUUGUCUUUACACGUGAAAUUGUGUCUGGUUUUGAACCUUCCAUUGACAGUACAGAAUGAAAUCAAAUUCUUAUGAACAGUACAGGAGUCAUAUAUAUGAAACCUGAUUUGGUGUUCUGUGAAACCUUUUACCAUAUAUUAUGUGUAUGAGAUUGGCUUAAUAAUUGAUGCCUGUACUGGAUGUACACCAGAUGAUUGAAGGCUGUCCCCCGUUUACCAUGAAGCAUGACAAUGAAGUUCCUAAAGCAUAUGCUGCCAGACAGCGUCCACCUUUCAAAGCUCCUGCAAAGCUUUAUGCACGUGGACUCAAGGAGUAAGUCCUUGUUUCUUAGAUGUUCAUUGUAUUGUGAAUUUCUUCUUCCUUAGAUAUAGUUGUACACUAGAUUCCUUUAGUCAAUAAAACCAGGAUUCCCUAUUUCCCUCUUGUUGUUGAGAGCUAUAAUCAGUGAAUCUUGAUUUUAUUGUGUUGGUGGAUAUAGUUUAAGGAUAAAUGAAACUUUUGCUAACAUUUUCUGCUUGCAGGUUGAUUGAGGAAUGCUGGAAUGAGAAGCCAGCUAAGCGACCAACAUUCAGGCAAAUAAUAACAAAACUGGAAUCGAUUAAUAACAGUAUUAAUCAUAAGAGGCGCUGGAAGGUCUAUCUUUUUCUCUCUCUCAGUGUGUGUUUGCAUCUGUUUACAUGGAUAUCAAUCAUCAUCAUUCUAUGAUCUUACAUGCGAGCACCCUAACCCUUGGCCUUUUUUGAGUUGGAUUCUCAUUGGAUGAGGCAUGUGCCGCAUGUCAGCUAAUUGGGUGAUUUGUAUCAGUUGUUUAAAUUUACUUUAGUACCUUGACCCAUCCCUUGGGAACUAGGUAGGGAGCCAAUAGGCUUCUGUUUUAGGCUGCAUAAAUGCUUGAGGUAGUCACUAGUCACCAUUAUUAAUAUUAUAGAACUAAUAGAUCCCUUUUGUUAAUUUGUAAAAUGUACAGAUUAGAACAAUGAAAUGCUUUCAUAAUCUGGAAGCCAUGCUGAAGAAAGAUCAUUCCAGCCCCAGCAGCCGCAGCAAAUCAUCUCGUUCAACCAGCAGCAUCUGAAUAAUAGAUUGCCGUUUCCAUUAGCUUGUGAAUCUGCAGAAGUCAUCAACUCUCGUCAUGAAUCAAUAGUGUGACAAAAAGAUUGGGUUUUCAGGUGGUAGGAUAGCUGUCGCAUAGGUGAAUUCUGUUGUGGUAGUAGUCAAAUGAAAUUUCUUUUCCACAUUUUUGAGAUCUCCCUUUGAAAUUGUGGGCUGAGGAUAACAUUUCUACGGUGUAUUGAUUUAUCAAAAAUUAUAGCCAUAAGUGUACAUCAUGUGCAUAUGACAAACUAGACAUUCAUCUUUUUUUUUUUUUUGGAAAUAAUGAAUUUAAGAAUGUAUUGACUGAAAAGUUAACUCCGUUUGAUGAACUGCGACGAUGGGUUGAAACCAACGUGAGUGAAAAUCUCAUUGGUUGCAUUUUAGGCCCAGGUUCACUUGGGGGCCCAAAUGAUUUGAACUUGGAGUUGGAGUUGGAAACCUUCUUGAGAGUUAGCGGUCUUUCCUUCCUACAAUUGUAAGCAGCCCAACAGUGGCCGAAUGCACAGUCAUACAGCUGGCAAAUAAAAAAUCCAUGAUUUAAUCACUGUUUCUUUAAAAAAAAAAAGAAAAAAAGAUAUAUAAUGAGUCAUCCAGGUAUUUGUCAAAGGAUAAUUUCAUGGACCACAAAGUUGUAGGUGAGUUUGCGGAAGGUUUAAUAUCAAAUGAUCAAUAAUAUUAUUGACAAAUUUUUAAUUCAGUCCACUCUUAGUCGUGCGACUGACCAUAACACUCGUAGAAUUAAUGUAUUAUGCGCCCCCAGCUCAACUUUCUCUAGUCUUUCCCGACUUCGAAUUUCGGUUAAUCAAAAUUAUCGUUACUCUUCAAAUCUGAGUUUUCAAAGGAAGAAACUUUCGUCGCUUUUAUUUCUUGUAAUUUUAGCUUUCCUCUAGAGUUGAAAAGAACAUCCGUAAACUUCAAAUUCUUACUAUAUAUCUUGAAUUUUCAGGGAGCUGCUUGUGGAUAAAAUCAUCAAAUCUUUUUGAAAAAACUUCCUAUAAAAAUGACAAGUAAUUCACUUCCGGAAAAUGAAAUGUGCAUCUCACUUACACGAACAUUCUUUGGUUCGUGUCAUGAUAAUAUGAUUGGUGGUUUGUGGACCCAUUUGAACAAUAAAAGAGGAUUUUCCUCUAUAUAGGGGAAAACUUACAGCAAUCGGUGACUUUGGUAAUAAAGUAAAACAAGGAACUGGAAACUGGAAAAAGAAAUUCAUAAUUAUAACUGAAAACUUGUGAAAGUAGUUGUGUUGAUGAUUUGUCACCUGAAUUGUGACAAGCUGUGCACACAUACAUGUAUAUGUUGAAGAUGAAGCAAAAUCCAAACUGAAUUUUCUAAUAGCCGAAAAAGAACCACCAAAUCUAUAUUUUAUUUUAUUUUAUUUUUAUUUCACUUUGAUCUAAAGAAGGAAAAAGAACUGCAAGACUUGGGAUUCAUCACAACCAGCUUUUGCUUCUUCAAUGAAAAUACUGUCACCCGCAAGAGUAGAUGCUCUAAAUGAGAGGUAGCAAUUUGUUAUAAGUGUAUGCAUUCAGCCCACUGAAGAUAGCAAGCAGUACACAAUUCUCUCUCUCUCUCUCUCCCCUUCUUUUAUUUUUUGAUAUUUGAUAGACUCACUCUCUUUUUCUUUUAAUUUAUAUUAUUGUGCUUUAAAUAUUUAAAUUAUUUCUAAAAGAUUCAUGCGAUGGACUGAUGCUGCAAUUUGGAUAACUUGGCGAAUUGACCCAGAUUAAUUAAAUCAAAUCGAAUUUCAAAUAUUUUUUUUUAAAAAAAAAAAUUACCCAAUUUAUGAAUUUACCGCCAAGAUAUUCAAUGUAUCUCAAACAAUAAAACAAACCUUAGAAUGCUCUCAAAAUUAUAUCAUUAAUAAUAAGUGAAUAUACUAUCCUUUUAACCAAUCUCAUAAUGCUCUUUGAAUUAUUUUACACAUUUAGGGAUGCAUCCAUGACAAAUUUUUGAAAAGUCUGGGGUUACAGAUUCUAGAUUAGGAAAUGGCACUGCUUUACAUUGUGUGAGAUAGGGCCACAACUUUGCUUCCUUUGCUGGCAAGAUCUGCGAUUCCUUGGUGUAUUUUGGUUGUGGCCAUUAUUGUAAAUUAGGUAAAAAUUUAUUUAAUCCCUAUAUUUUAAAGUUAGUGUCCUAUAUUGUAAAUUGGUCAUCUAUAUUUUGAUGUUUUGAUAUACUUUUAAAAAUACAUGCACUAAUUGGACAUUAACCUCAAAAUAUAGGGACUAAACAAAGUCUCACCAUUAUAAAUUUCAGCUUUGUUAAUUUGCUCGCUAAUAAUUGUUACAAAUAAAUUCAUGCGCUUGCCUCAGGCCUCAGCACACACCUCCUGAGAGAUUGAAACAAGACCUUGUGAAAGCAAAUUAAUCACAGUUGACUUGUGUGAUGAGGAUUAGUGAAAUAAAAAAAUUGCCCCAUCUGGGUAUUUCAAAAUGCGCACGGCAAAUUGCAGCUUUGUUGUCUUAACUCGCGGGAAUGAUUCAUAUGAAAUCAAGUAACACUCAUAAUCAACAUGUGGGUGGUGUGUAUAUUGCAUGAGGACGUGGCCAUGAAAUGUACAUUAGUCGGCUAUAAUUCAAAUGGUCAUGAAACUCGGAGUCAUUUCCAACCACAACUGUUCAGAAAAAAAAAAAAAAUUGUGAUUACGCAUACAAACCAAUUAAGGGAUGAGGGCUACCCAUGCUAGCCCUUUGCAGCCAGCCGUAAAAUUUGUUGUUAUUUGUGACAAAUCGAACACUAACUUGAAUGGAGCUUUUAAGGUUAGUAGCUGCCUCAACUUUAACAGAAAGCAAAAUCAUUAACUGAUUAACACAAGGAGAAUUGUUCGUUGUGAAAGGAAUCAUGAACAUUAGCAAUGUGUAUAAUUCGCCAUUGACCUUGUUAAUUUGAAGAAAUUGGAUUCCGAUAAAGUAUAUUAGCUAGGACUGUGAGUGGGCAAGUUGAGAUUCCAUGGGAAAUGAAGCUUUCGGUAUUGACAAAAGUAUGCAUGCGAGCCCCCACACGAAAAAUAUACAUCAUAUCAACAUUUAAAACAUGAAAAUAGAGCCUCUAAGGAUGUGGUCGGGUUGGUUGCAAUGUAACUGUAACAUCUAUUAAAAUCCGAGUUUGAUUAUUGAGGCUGGUAAAGAGGGUAAAAACUGUAUUUAGACUUGCCCAUCCCCUUACCUUUAAAAAAAAACAAAAAAUGGAAGCAUGCAAGUUAUCUUAUACCUUCAAUUUAUACAUAAUACAUUAUUCAGCUGUUUAUACAUAAUACAUUUAUCAGCUGAAUCGAGGCUAUAAAUAACAAUUUGGUUUUUUCCCUCCUAUUGAUCUUUGUUAAUUUCAACGCCCCCGGCCCCUCCCUACAAAUCAUCGAGACAAUCCAACCAUUAGAAACAUUGUUAACUUCCUUUUUUUUUUUUUUAUUGUGGUGUCUUAAAUAUUUUUAUCCUUAGAAAUUUAUAUUGGUUAAUUGUGAGUUUUAUGAAUUCAAGAGUCAAUUAUAAAAGACCAAAAAAAAAAAAAAAAAGACACGAAGAGAGAAAUAAUUAAUUUACUGAAAUAAUCUCGUGGUGGGUUUGAUCAUUUUUCAUUUUCAAAACUAUGUAGAUCGUUUAUGAGCAAGAUAAUACAGAGCCUGGCGUGGAGAUAAAACAUGAAACAAAAAUGAUUUAUAGAAGUAAGCUGGCUUCGUCGAUGAGAAGGUAAGCAAAACAAUAUUUGACAUCUUAUUGCAUGCCGAAUUGACUAAUAAUGGCAGAAUAUAUAUAUAACAAGGAGAAGAGUCCAAACUAUAACGCAGGUUUAGUUAUUUUGUUUAUGAUUGAGGCUAAUAGCUAGCUAGCUACGUAUUCGUUGGGUUUAUGUCUGUCAAAUUAUUGACUAGCCAUCGCAUGUAAUUCAAGCUUCAACUUGUGUGUUUUCUUUUCGGCCGCAAUAAAAUUGUUUGUUUGACGAUAAAUGUCGGCGAGUUAAUUACGUGGCACCUCUAAGAAUUUAACCAACUUUUUCACUAUCGAACCAAUAUUUAAUUUUAUGAUCAUAUUUAGACUAUUGGCACCCCCCCCCCCCAUAAUCCUCUUUAAAUCCUUUUUCAAUAUUUGCAACUUUAACCUUAAUUGUGAUUACAAUAUUGAAUGAGAGACUAUAUAUCAAACUAAACCUACAUAUUUUAUAUACACACACAUACAUUACUUUUGUAGUAAAAAAAUCUUUACACAAUCAAAUAUGUUGUAUGUAUUUUUUUUAAUUUUUAACACUCUUGUUAUAAACUCCCUUUUAUAUAUAUUUAGCCCUAAAUUAAAUACAUUGCUUUUAUUAACUAUUUUUAUACCAAGAGUGAGCAAAAAAGAAUCAUAAAUUUAUAUAAAUAAAAAAAUCUGAUGAAUUUUUUAAGAAGUAAUUGUUUUGUAGGAAAUCUUAAUCACCUUUUUUUCUUCAAAUAACACACAGAGAGAGAGAGAGAGAGAAACUCCAUGGAUAUUAGGUGUGAACAAUAAAAAAGAAAAAAAAUGAAACAUUAGAUUUGAUAAAGAAUAAUUUUAAUUAAAACAAAUUUUUUUGUUAAAGGGUGUUAUAUAUUUAUAGAUAUUGAAAUGAGAAAAAUGAAGAAAAUGGUUUUAAGAAAUAUAUAUAGCCAUAUAGGGGUGCCAAUGUUCUGACUCUUAGGUAGCGUUUGUUUUUUUUAUUUGAAAUCUAAAUGAGUCUAAAUUUUUCUGAAGUCUGAAUAUGUUUGAUUACGAAAAUAUGAAUGACAUAUUUAUUUUUCUUUUUUAAAUAUCUGAAUAAAAGUGGCAUCUUAUUUGUUUUCACAAUAAAAAAAAUCUUAAAUUUGGUCAUUUGAAAUGUAUGUCCUUAUAAAUUAAAACAAAAAAGAGGAUUAAAUUUUAUAUUUAGGAAAUAAACUAUUUUACAAAGAUAUUUUUAAAAUAUAAUAUUUACUUGUCAUUAAGACCUUUUUCAUUCAGAUAAAAGUCACAAAUAAUUACUUUUUCUAUUCAGAUGUAAAUAUAUGAAAAUCAGACAUAAGUUUCAAAAAAUAAACAAACAUAUUUCAGAAAAUAUAUAAAAUAAAUAAAAUUUCAGACUUAAAACAUUUAACAAAACAACCUUUAGUGUGUGUGUAUAUAUCGUAAGAAUGGCAUAUAAGAAACGUAUCGGCAAUGGAACCCACUUGUGCAUUUGUUGUGUGGAGUUUGCUGGCCAUAUUUUCCUUAUUAGCACUAUUUUAGCUCAAUCACAACUCAACUCAAUUUAUUGUCUUAUGCUUUGAAUCUUGAUCACUACAUUAAAGAAUCACGUGACUGAUGGAACAACUCCACAGAAUGAUCCAUUUCCCAUUAACCUUUUAUGCUUAUGACCCUUUGCUUUCCUUUUUUACACACCAUUUAUCGUGGAAGCUUUUAAUCAAGCUUCCGCAUUUUGAAUUUUCGAUUAAUUUCAGAACUUGUUACUGUGCUUUGAUAGUUUGAUUUAAUUGUUUAAAUAAUGUUAAAGAUCCUAAUAUCUGGAUCCUAAUUUAUAUACUACUGAUAAUUUAUAAAUUAAAUGAUAUAAUAAUAAUUUUACGACUUAUAAAAAUCACAUUUAAUAAAUAAGUGAUAUAUGAGGUUAAUUAGGGUAGAAAUUGAGACUUAACAUUCCCUUCCAUUAUUAAUCGUUAACUGUUCUCCUUAAAAGGGGUUGAUUUGGAGGGUCAGCACUUGGUCUGAAGCAACAUAUAACUCAUCAAUGUUGUAGUUGCAACUUGCAAAAUCAAUUACUCUAUCACAUGGUUCGUUCGUUAGUUUCUCAGGGUUUUGCUUAUUUACCGCAUCAUCGACAAAAGUUUAGAGCAAAGGGAAACCCCCCAUUCAGUCCCUUAUUUUUGGUUUCUCAUUUACUCAGAUUGUCAAAAAUACUUAAAUAUUUAUCUAUCAAUUGAAAGAUUUUGUUAAAAGUUUACCAUUUUUUCCCCACGUUUUCAUGUUUCAAAUGGUCUGUGAGUUUCCUUCUUUUUUUUUCCCCCUUUUCGAUAUUAAUUGAUAUGAUGAGAAAGGUGACGUUUAGCCUUCAAAUAUAAAAUCUAGAUGUCAAUUUUCUAGUAGUCGAUAGGUAUUAAGGUUUUUUUUUUAAAAAGAAAAUUGGAAGUCAAAGUAUGAAAAGUUCCAAUUAUGUACAUGUCUGGACCUUUGAACACUACUUAUCACUCCGUAAUGGAUUAACAGAACUUGGAACCACCAUUUUUAAGAGGCAGAAAAUUCAUCAAGCUCAAAAGCAGAAGUCCCCAUUUCGGGGGUUUCUAACGUGAGGGUUUAAAAUGUCAUCAAUAAUCAAUAAGAUGAUUAAUUAACCUGUUUGUUUUAUCAAGAACUACCCGGGGUAAAAAGAAAAAAGAAAAAAAGACAAGCUAAUUAAGUAUACUAGUAAUCAAGAAUCUCUUUACACAGUAUAUUGUGAAAAAUAGUAGGUGAGUUGAGUGCGUUGGUUUACUUGUACAUACAAAGAUUAUUUUUAAGGAUCACAAUGACAAUGGCCAUGGCGAUAGUGACUAGCCACGAAGCAUUUAAUGAAUUAGGUCUUGGCAUUGAAGCUGUGAACCAUCCAGCAUCUUUCGAAGGUCUAUUGUUGAAAAUCUCAUCUUAUUUUGUGGUCCCAUUCAUAAUCAAAGAGAAUAUAUAUAUUGGUUUCGGAUGUGACUUGUUGAUGCGCGUACUUUCCUUAGUUUUUCCUCCAUAUUAUUAUGAUCGAGUGUACAAAGUAACAAUAUUAUUGACCUUGUUAAUUAAUUACUUUCUUAAGGCAUACACACCUUGGUAAUAAAGUCAUUCAUUCUUAAUGUUGAUAAUCAAGAAAUAGUAUUUCCUUUUUCUGCUAAACAAGUCAAAAACCCUUGGCUUUGGAUUUUCAAUUUGUCCUGACAAUUUCCAUGAAACACAAGGGAAAAAAACAGGAACCAGUAUUAAGGUUUAAGUUCGACCGUUUCUUGAAGUCUUUUAAGGACUAUGGGUCAUUCCAACUCACUUAGGAAACUUAUUUCGCAUAUGGUUAACACUUAAUGUGCGGUCGAAAUAGAGAGAGAGAGAGAAGAAAUUGGCUUCCAACCCACACAAAGAUUUCCCUUUUUUGGUAAAUUUUUAAUUGCUACGCACCUUUACCGUUCAUGUCGGAUACUUUUUGAAUUUGAGCUUUAAUUUUGAGCCACUACAUGCUUAAGCUUAUAGCUCAUGAUUUCCAAAUAAAAACAAAGGAAUAGAUUUUGACCAUAGAUCAAUAACAAUAUAUGCGUGUUAAAAAAAAAAAAAUCAAUAGUUUUUUGAAAUGAUAAAAUUUCUUUUCGAUUGUAAUGACCUCAUUGGAAUAUUUUUUGUUUUUGUUUUUUGACAAAUUUCUUGGAAUCUUUCUUGUAAAUCUCAAAGGUUAAGGAACGCUUUAUGAGAUUUUUAAAAUCAAUCUCUGUCUUUCUCAAUUUUAGGCAAAAAGUAUUUAUAUGACUUUCUUGUUAGGAAAAAUGAUAGCAUGCUUACACUAAGGAAAAGAAAAAUGAGAAAAGAAAAAAAACGACGUCCCUCUUGAUAUACUCGAAACAAUUUACCACAAAAGACAAGUCUGAGGUGUAGGUAUAUAUUUUCGUAUGUUACAUCUUGCAAAAUUAAUUGAAACACAUAUAAUUCAGCGGUAAAACUUUCUAUAUAUUUAGUUGUACAAAGUGUGAUAAAAGCACAGUACUAAUUGCCCUCAAAGUGGUCCUCUUAAGAGAUAUGGGGAGAUUUUCUUGUUGUGAACCCAUUAAGAAAAUUUGACUGAAGAGACCAUCCACAAUUAUAUCAUUAAUUGUCCUUUCUACUUUCAAAAUAAUCAGAUUCAGCCUCAUAGCUAAUUGUAGUAAAAGAGUUUUCAGAAAGUCCAUAGUCUAAUGACACACCAAGAAAGAAAAUUUAAAAACGAUCAUCUAAAUUGAUCUUCUUAUUGCCAAAUGAACAAGCUUGAAUUUUCUAAGAAGAUCGAUCCUAUUGUGUCAUCUUUUUACCACGAAUUUAAGCAUAUGAAAUUACGCACGAAAUUGCACAGAAUUUGUUACUAUGUCUGCGUCACAAAUAUUAGCCCUAGCUAGGUGAAAUAACUACGCUUAAUUAACGUGUUUCCUGUAUAGUCACAAUAAUCGCGGAAAAAAAAAAUUCAAAUCAUUAAGAGGAAAAAAAAAAUCUUCAUAUUAGUGAAACCACUUGAAUCAACGACUUCAAAUACGACCCAAAAAAUUAAAUUGUUUGACAAUUGCUUGUGUAACACUUGCGUCAUUGCUUGUGUUACGGAAAUUUGAUCAAUAGAGAACCAUAAGGCGGCUGACUAUGUGUAAAGAAUUUGAAGACGUUUGAGUGUGAAUGCUAUUGCCACGCAUCAAUUAAUUUUUGACUACUUGAUCAAAUGAUAUAUAAAAUAUCAAUGUAUAUAUGAACCAUGGACUUGAAUCAUGUAUGCGUGGUUCCAUGUCCAUAGGAAACACUAUAUCACUCAUAAUGAUCGCUAAAAAAUGACUAAUCAUUCCAACAUUUAACAUGUAAUGUCAAGGUGGGUAUGCAAAAAGUGACCUGUCCUUGAGAACUAUUAAGUGACGUCUGGCACGAGGUAAAGCUGGGAGAGAUAAUCAUUAGUUCAAUGUUGAUCCAAUCGAAUUAAUUAAAGAGAGCGUGAGGUGACAGAGGAAUAUUUGAGAAGCAAUGCUAGUUGGUAAAGUCAGUAAUUCUCAUUUGAGCAGUGCAUAUGAUUGCCAAAGUAUAAAUUAAAGCAGGAAACAAAAAAUGAAAGAAGAAGAAAUAAGUUAAUUAGAGCACUAAGUGGGAUUGGCAUUGAAUCAUGAAACGGAUGAACAAACCCGUCAAAUCUAUGGCUCUCGCACAAUACUAAAAUAUUGAAAAAAAAAAUACUAAAUGGUUGUGGUUCUGUUGGCAGUGCAGGCUGAGUUUGUGGGAAGAGCUCUCGGGUUUGAGAGGGGUAAAGAGUUUUAACUGUGACUGCACUAUGAAUUCGGAUCAGUCGGGACCUAAUGCAAUCGCUGGAUACCGAAUGGCUUACACCAAAAAAAAAUAUUGAAAAAAAAAAGAGAAACAAUUAAUUGAUUCGUUGAUUGCCAAAUGCUUCUUCUACAACUACUAUAAAUGAGUUAAACAGUAUAAGGAGAUGAAUGCUAGAUGCAUCACAUGGAGUUGCCUUCACUUUUGUCAUAACCCACGAGUCACAACCCUAGUCCUAGUAAAACAGUCAUGCUUUCAAGAAGGUAAGAAAAUUGAGAGCUGAAGAGAAUAAUGGAGCCUUUGAAGUGUGAGUGGGGCCUAAUUCUAAUAAAGGAAAGAGGUCUUAUUGUAUUGAUUAUACCUUUGAGCAAUUUUGUACAAAUAUAUUUUUCUUAUAUAACAUUUAUCAUAUCGCCAUUGCUAAUUAUUUAAUAAUUAAAUAAAUUAUUCUUUUAUAUAUAUUUGUAUGUAUGUAUUUAAUUCAUUCAUGGAGUCAAAAAGUGUAAGUAGAAAACAAUAUUAAUUGAAAAUGGCACUAUUCAUACAAAAUAUUUCUAGUGAGGCACAAUGGGAAUUGAAACUAUGAGAAGAAUAGAUCCAUUAAGCACACACAAGCUUGAAAUAGUAAUAAAAAAAUAUAACAAUCUAUUAAAAGUUGAUUGUGCGAGUUCAAGGUAUGUAUGCAAAUAGGUUCUAAUUAGGAUUGAUGUUGAAACACUAUAAGUGACUUAUUU